UCCCUGACUUCUUCAUACCAUUUCUCUCAUUAUGAUUAAUAUUGUGAAGUACUUCCUCCUAUGAGUUCACCAUUUUUUUCCUUCAUUAUGCUUUAUUUCAAAACUUUUGAUUUUUGUACAUUUUCACUUUGACUACUCCAUGAAUUACUUGCCCAAUAAGGUUCUCAAGAAAUAAUUUUUGUUAGAUUUCCUUUCCCAAAUACCACACUUGUACAUUGGAACCCCCAAUGAUGAAUUUCUUCUUCCACUUAUACUUGAUAAACAAUAUCAUUGAUUUUUGUGUUUUUAUUAAUUUUUUCCUCACCGUGGGUUUAUUUAUAGUUAUCAAGGUGUCAAUGGUUGUCAUUACCUUUUUUAAAUAUUCUUGUCUAUACAAAGAUAAUAGUAUGUGUUGAACAUGCACUUUGAUGUCUCCAAAUCCAUGAAUAUUGGUUGAAGGCUUUGCUGCUGCUUGUGUGUGUGGGUUUUGGGUAGUUUGAAUUUGUAAUCCACUCAUAGAAUUGAUCACAAGUUGUUUGAUUUUAAUGUAUUUGAAAAAAAUGUGUUUUCAAAGAGAAGUGGAAAAACAACUAGUUGUUUUAUCGUUUCAACCGGUUGUUUUACACUUACAGUUUUUUGAAAGGAUUUGAAACUGUUUGACUUUGGUUGACUUUGCUGUCAAACCAAUUCAACCGGUUGUUUCAAAAAUUCAACCAAUUGAUCUUUGAAAAUCCUUAACAAAAUUCUGUUAAGUUGAUUUAAUCUGAUUUAAAUUAUUUUAAUUGAUUUUGGAUCUUUAAUUAAUUACUUUUAACAACUAGUUGGAGUAUAAAUAAGUGGUUAUACGCUCCUGGUUGUUAAGAUUUCAAAUUAACAGUUUCAAAUCAGUUUUCUAAGAUUGCUUCAAGUUUUGGAUACUUUCUAAGAGUGGAAUAUGAUUGUGCUGUAAUUAAGAUUGCUUUGAUAUUUGAUAAUUAUCAGGUGUUUUCCAUUCUCUUUCAUUUGACUUGUAUUUCUGUAAAGUACUGUGUUGCAUAGAGUCAGAGGGUGUUCUGAUUUGUGGUGUGUUGUAAUUGCCAAAGGAAGUGUGUGUUCUUGAGGGGUUCAAGAUCACUUCUUUGGUGUGUGUGGUUUGUAAUAUGUGGUUGAUUACAUAUGGAAUACUUAGUGAUUUCUAGGGACUGGAUGUAGCUCUUAGCUUUUAGUUUUAAGUUUUUUUAUAAACUGCUGAUAAAAACAACUGAAUGAAUCGCAUAAACAACCGGUUGAUUUUAUGGAAAUCAACUAAAACAAUUUUGUAACUUAUGCAUUUUCAUUCCUUUGGCUUUGAUUUUUCAUUGGCUUUCUUCAUACCUUUAAAGUUUGCGAAAAACGUUUAAAAACAUUUCACUCCCCUUGUUUUAGGCCUACAAUUCUAACCAUAUGCCCUUAGACCUAACCAAAACAACCUUGUUUUCUAAGAUAACCUGGUUUAAUUAUGGAAUCACUUAUUCAAACAACAUUUAUAGUCGUUUGCUAUCUUGCUCUAUCGCCUUACUUACUUUGCUAUCCCAUAAAUUAUGCACUCUGAUGAAUUUCAAGCCAUCUAGAAAGAAAUUUUCUUUUAGCGUAUCCACCUUAUUAUUGUCAUGCAACCUUCUGAUAAAAGCUUUUCUUUAACCAUUAUUUUUGUUGGUGUUGAGGGAAUAAAACAGAGCAAGAUAUUUGUUAACAGAGAAUAUAAAUUUUAUUUCAUUGCUACUUUUCAAAUAAGAAUACAAUCUCUCUAAAUAGUCUUACAAUAGACUUCUCAAAUUCUACCUUCUCUAUCAUAAAACCUAUACUAUAAUUUACAUUUAAAUCAUAGUAUAAAUGACAUUUAAAACUAGAAUUAAAGAUAAUAAUUAUUAGCUAUUCAAAUGCUAAAAUAAAACUGAUGAAGGCUGACGGCUUUGAGUUUAAUGCUAACAAAUUCCCCCUUAAACUCAAACCUUUCAUAUUUUUCAUUCAGAUUGUUAUCGCUCACACUUCUAAUUUUAUAUUUUUCCUUACCCCAACUGCCUCCAAUAUUAUAUUUUUCUAGUAGUCACCAUAUUGUCCUUGAUUAGAAGCAACUUCAAUUUUCUUCAUUGCACCAAUCCGUGCAGAAUUUUGAAUUGAAUUACUUUUAAUUUUCCAAACAAAAUCUUCUCCACUUUCACCCUUUGAAUUAAAAGGAUUUAAGAAAGACUUUGACUUCAAUGAGCUUUGAAGAUAAUGAUUAUACCAUAUUUCCCUUUCAGAUGAUGUCUCAACACCAUUCCAUUUAUGGUCUUCUCCUAAAUCAAAACCACUAUUUUCAAGUAAAACACAUGAACCAAAAGGGGAUUUGAAUUUGAAUUGUAAUUCACUCACCUUUUCUUUUUGUGCCAAAAGCAACAAAUGAAGUUUUUCAACUUGAUUGACUCUACUUUCCUUGUCUUUCUCCAUAUCAACAUAUUUUUCUUCCAAUUUUGUAAACCUUUUUUCCAGGUUAUCAAAUUUUGCUUCAACACUCUCCAAUAAUUGUCUCAUACUGAGAAUAUUACUCUUCAAGUCAGGUACAUAAAUUUUUGUGACAUUUUCUUUGGAUUUAAAGGCCAUGUGCUCCUCCUCCAUUGGAUUGAGAACAAAACUUUUUCCCUUCAUUUCAACUUUAAACAAAUCUCUGCCAUCAACAUCUUUAAUUAAGCAAUGUUUAUUUCCAAACAUCACAUUAUAGCCUUUUUCCAACAAUUGACCAACACUCAAAAGAUUUUGAUCAAUCUCUGGCACAAAAAGAACAUUUGUAAUGAUUUUUAUACCCUUAUAGCUUGUGAUAGCUAUUGUGCCUUUUCCUUUUACUGCAAGAUGUUCACCAUUUCCAAUCCUCACCCUUUUAAUAUCAGUAGUUCUCAAUUCCUUGAAGAGUUCCUUGUCAUGUGUCAUGUGGUUGGUGCAGCCACUGUCAAUUAGCCAAGAUGCACUUGAAAUAUUGCUGCAAAAACCAGUUGCAACAAAAAGUACAUCCUCCUCCUCCUUUGCAAUUUGAGCAUCUACAUCUUGUUGCUCACUUUGGUUUCUACAAAUGAUUGCUCCAUGCCCAAGUUGAUUGCACUUGUUGCACUUAGCAUUAGGUCUUCUCCAACACUUAAACAGCUGAUGACCUAACUUGUUGCAAUGCUUACAAGGAAGAUAAUUUCUACCUUUGUUUCUCCAGCCACCUUCAUGUUUGACUAGUAAGGCUCCUUCUACUGCUCCAUCUUGUCUCAUGGUUCUCCUUUGUUCUUGUGCUUGUAAAGCAUUUAAGAGCUUUGCAAGAGAAAUCUUUGAUAGGUCAUUUGUGUUCUCCAGGGUUGUUAUGGUGGCUUCAAACCUCUCUGGAACUGUUACAAGCAGUUUUUCCACAAUUCUUGAAUCUUUUAACACAGAUCCAAGCAACCUCACUUUGUUGGCAAUGCUUAGAAGUUUGUCCGGGUACUCUUUUACGGAUUCCGACUCCUUCAUUCUCUGCAAUUCAAACUCUCUGAUUAGAUUCAGGGUUUGCAUUCCAGGAAUCCUCUCAUCACCUUCAUAUUCUGCCUUGAGGUAAUCCCAGAUUUCUUUUGCUAACUUCAAGGACAUUAUCCUUGUGAAUACCACAGGAGAUACAGCUGCAAAUAGACAUGCUUUUGCCUUUGAUUUCUUCAUCUUUUUUCCUUCUGUGAUUUUAUUUGUGCCACCAUAGGGUUUCCUGGAAGGGACUGAAUUUCAUAGUCCUCUUCUACAGCUUCCCAUAAAUCCAAUGCUUCUAGGUAGGUCUCCAUACGAACAACCCACAUUUGAUAAUUGUCUCCAUCAAAGACAGGUGGUGCCAUUGCUGAAAAAUUUGAUCCUCCUUCCAUUGGUGCACUCUACUAACCUCACAAUCCCUCAAGAAAAUAGCUCUGAUACCACUUGUUGGUGUUGAGGGAAUAAAACAGAGCAAGAUAUUUGUGAACAGAGAAUAUAAAUUUUAUUUCAAUGCUACUUUUCAAAUAAGAAUACAAUCUCUCUAAAUAGUCUUACAAUAGACUUCUCCAAUUCUACCUUCUCUAUCAUACAACCUAUACUAUAAUUUACAUUUAAAUCAUAGUAUAAAUGACAUUUAAAACUAGAAUUAAAGAUAAUAAUUAUUGGCUAUUCAAAUGCUAAAAUAAAACUGAUGAAGACUAACGGCUUUGAGUUUAAUGCUAACAAUUUCUCUUACUCAUUCACUAAAAACUGUUUCGCUUCCAUCUACCUGUAUUAGUGUUCAUAUUGUUUUACAAUCUCACUUAUGCUCGUGACUAAUCCUGAACUUUCCUCCUUUACAUCACAAUUCCCAUUAUUUUGCUUUUUGAAUUAGUUCCUUCGAGCUUACUUCACUUGAACACCAUUUCUUUGUUCCUUCAAUAUUUGGCUUGUUCACGUGUGUUUUUCUAAUACCAAUCCACAUAUUAUCCAAUUUAUCCCUAACUCCACUGCAUUUACCAUUCCAAGAAACAUCCAAACCCAAUUCUUUGCACUCUCCCAUUUACUUUUUGCAUAUAAAUACCUCUUGCAUUCUCCCCCACCUUCGGAAGAUUUUCUACAUAACAUACUCAUCGUAGUUUACCGGAAAGUGAGAAAAAAAAAAAAGAAUGGUGUGGAGUCUUUCUAUGCUCAUGUGUUUUGCGCCCUUUUGUCUUUGUUGUUGAUAGUUUUCAUACUCAACUCAUUGGUAGCUCCUCUUUCUAUUUUGAAUCUGAUUCCUUUUUAUUUAAUGGGGUACCUAGUGUGAUAACUUUUUGGGAGAUGUUCAAAACAUUAAAGUUGAGGGGAUCCUCUUUCAAGAUUUUCUACUUAGUGAUGCAAAUCAAGUGUGUUUUGAUAAUUUGAUUUUUUUUUUUAUCUUAAAGUGUGUUUAAUAAUUUAUAUCAUUACAAGAAAAUUAUUAAAUAGAAACUAAUUUUAGAAACUAAAAAUAAUUAGUUGCUAUGGUGACUAAAUUAGAGAUCAUUUUAGAAAUUAAAAAAAAUUGGUUUCUAAAUUAGUUUCUAUUAUUGUUAAAUGGUUUCUAAAUUGGUAUAUAAUUAGCAACUAAGGUUUUUGCUACCAAAUUUAGAAUAUAAAUAAUUGGUAGUUAAAACAUUGGUAGCUAAUUAGAUACUAAUUUAGAAACUAUUUAAAAAUAAUAGAAACUAAUUUAGAAACCAAAAAUUUUUUUAGUCUCUAAAAUGAUCUCUAAUUUAGUCACUAUAACAACUAAUUAUUUUUUGUCUCUAAAAUUGGUUUCUAUUUCAUGAUUUUUUUGUAGUGUAUAUUCAUUGACAAUAUUUUGGACUUUAAUUAUGCAAUUACAUAAAUUAUAUAUUGAUUCAAAAUGAUGUCAAACUAUUUCUUAUAAUUAUGUUUGCGAUGUAAUAUGAAGUAAGAUAAUUUGUAAAUAAUUGUGUUUAUGAAGGAUUUGUUAGGAAUUAGAUUGAAUGCAAGUUAAAGUUAUAAUCAAAACUUGGGAUGACAGCGAGGUAAGGUGAGUGCAAGUUUGACUAUACACAUCCACAUUCCCGAAAUAAAAAGUUAUUCUCAUCCUCGUCUCAUCCCAUUAGGUAUAAUUUUUUUUGUCUCAUUCUCAUCCUCAUUAGGUAAUGGGUGUAUCCAUAUCCACGCUCAUACUCGUUCUCACACUCUCCCAAAUAUUAAAUAAAUAAUGUUCUUACAAAACAAGAAAAAAAAUCACAAUAAAUAAAAUAUGUUAUCAAAUAACAAUUACAUGUAAUAGAAAUUUCAUAACAAUUUCAAUAUAUUGUUUUGAAAAUAUUGAGGGGGAAAAUACCUCAGAGAUUUGAGUGAAUUUGGUAAAUAUUAAACAUGGUGAAUUGUUGAAAGAGAGAAUGAAAUUUUGUGUAAAAAAAAAAAAAGUUCUUGAAAUGAAACAAAAUUAAGAAACAAGAAAAAAAGAAAAAUAUUUUUUUUAGGUUACCUAAUAAACUAAGAGUUUACAAAAUUUAAUUCAAUAAAAUUGAGGUUUACGUUUCCUAAAAUGUAAUUUAUCAUUUGAAGAAAAUUACUUAAAAUGUAAUUUAUCAUUUGAAGAAAAUUACUAGAAAAAAAAUGUGUAAUUGAGAAUAUAAUUAAAGAGAAAAUACUUUAAGAUAUGAGUGAGCUUGAUAGAUAUUAAAUAGUUAAACAAUUGGGAGAGUAUGUAAAAUAAGAGUUUUUCAAAUGGAAUGAUAAAAAAAAACAUGGAUGAGAAUAACAAAAAUAAGUUUUCUAUUCCAUACCCAAUUUAAAAUAUUAAAUAUUAUGAUGCUCAAAGUUUAUUUAUAACCCAUAAUUAAAACAAAACAAAUAUUAUAAAAGUUAUACAUACAACAAAUUUUUUUACUAUAAUUAUCAUAUAUUACUUUCACCAAUUAUUCAUAUCAUAACCAAUCAUUGAAAGGGUUGAAAAUUUUGAAAAUAAGUGGGUUUGGAAGGGGAAAAAAUGGUUUAGGGAGCAUAUUUUGUGGAAGGUUGGGUAGGGUAAUAUGAUCUUAUUUUUGAAUGAUACUUGGAUAGGGGAUAAGCCUUUAAGGAAGAAAUAUCCUAGAAUAUAUAGUAUUUUAAAACAAAAAAGAAAACUUAUAAUAAAGGAGUUUGGAUAACAUACCAUUGGACUUGGAAACUUAUAGGUAGAGGAGGGAUUGGUUUGAGUGAAAAAAACUAAUGGUCAACGAAUUAGUACAUAUUAUUCAGGAUAUUACAAUACAUAAAGAUCAACUAGAUGAGUGGGAGUGGAAGGAAGAUAGAACUUGUUGGUAUUCUAUGCAAUCUGCCUACAGGUUAAUACAUAGUUUUCCCUUAUAGGAGAAUGAUGUAAAUUUUAAUUAUCUGUGGAAAGUUAAGGCCUUACCCCAACCUUAUCUUUUGUUUAGAGGGUAUUCUUGAAUAAAAUUUCUACAAUACAUAACUUGCUCAAAAGAGGUAUCCAACUACAGAGAACUUUGUGUGCUAUCUGUAAUAGUUUAGAAGAAACCUAUCCUGUUUACAUGUAGAAUUACAAAUCAAAUUUGGAACAUGUGUGAUGUGUGGUUAGGGAGAAUGAUGAUACAUCAUUGUAAUGCUAAACAACACUUUUUAGGUUUUCAUCAUGGGGGUUUAAAUAGAAAGGGUAAUCAAAUUUGGAAAGUUGCGUGGAUAGAUCCAAUGUGGACUUGUGGAUACAUAGAAAUAAUGUUAUAUUUAAAAAUCUUAAACCAAAUGACAUAGAAAUCUAUUCUAUAGUACAUGUUAAAUAGUGAAUUUAGGAUUUAGGAUUUGUGUGAAUAACGAAGAAGUACACUAAGAUCAUAAAAUCUUUACGUAUCCGUGUGGCUAAUCUUAUUAAGCUACAUAGCCUAGAUCCUUCAAUGUAGUUCUAUGUAGGAAAAGUUUAACUUUUGUGCAUCCUUGGUUAUGUGUGUAUCUGUGCAACAAAAGCUUAGUGGAGUACAAAUCAGUGCUCUAUGGAUUACAAACAUAAUGGAACCUAGAAUAUAAUCCUGGACAAUUGUUGAGCAAAUUAUUAUACUCUGUAAUAAAUUAUGCAGCCAUUAUUUCAACUCAUAGAUUGAUACAAGGAAUAACGAGUAGUGCGAAUUUUACAUCUGUUUUUGUGUGCAGAGGGGCUACAAACUGGUUUAAAGUCUCCUCAUUUUAUAUAUUUUUUAUUAUUGAUAAAAAAAGUGGUUGAAAUGUUUUAAAAACAAAUUAAAAUUAAGAAAAAAAUACACUGACUGUAACUGGUCAAAUCUUUUAUUGUUUUAACAAUAUUUCUAUUAAUGAAAAUUUUAGAACUCCUAUUAAAAUUCUAUUUUAAUAAUUGUUAAAAGCUAUACUCCAGUUGUGUAAUUAAAGCAUUGAGAAAUUAAGAUGAUAAAAUCUUACCUGGUUCUAUUAUUCUCUCUAGCACUUCCAAUAUUGUAAGAAAACCCUCUGAAAUGAAGUAAAAUGUGACUUUAUAAUAGUCUCAACAGUUAUUCAAAAAAGAAUAUUUUCAGAUUUUGAUAAAGGUUAUAGCGGUCAAUAAGUUUAACAGUUAUUUAUUUUUAAUUUAAUGCUUACGUUCUUAUAAAUACAUGUAAAACAUAAAAAAUAAAAAAAAUACCAUUUUUUGUUCUAAAAGUUGAUUGAAUUAUUAUAAUGAUAUUUUGAAGAUAAUAAUAAUAUAUCUAAAAUGAAACAUAAAAUAUAGAUGACUGAAGCUUUGUUUUGAAAAAUUCUGAAAAAAGUGGUUAACAGAUGAUUAUUUGAAAAUAUAUAAUUAUGUAAAAUGUGUCUUAAUAUUUGGUUUAGGAUCACUCACCGCAUUGAAGCUUCUGGUUAGAAGAGUCGAAAUAGCAAUAGCUAUCAUCAUCUGGACAAAGAUUCUGACAGGCGAGUUUUAUCCAUGAAAUCUCGAAUCCAUAGGCGAGUGCGGUGUGCAUGGAAGAGUAGGAAUGGUAAUCGAAAGUGGAGAGAGAAGUGGGAGCAACAAGCUUUACCUCACACCCAACUUCUAAGUCCUCAGCUUUUAGGUCUCCACCAAUUGCAUAUGAAUACCCCUUCCCCUCCCACUUCACCCACUCUCCACUCUCCACAUACUUCCCUUUCUCUCUCACCCAAUCAUUACAAUUCACAAACACUAUAUGCGAGAAACUUCCUUAUUGGGAAAUGAGGAUAGAAAAAUUGUUUGUUUCCCAUAAAGUAAAGAAGGAAAGAAAGAUACAAAAGAAAAGAGAGGAAGAUGAAAGGGAAGCUAAAGAAAAAGAAAAACCAAGUGAGGGGUGGUGUGAAUCUAGAAAGAAUGAGGAAUAUCUUAUAACACCCCUUACAAGCAUAUUCAAAAUGGAAAAUCAAGAGAAAAUCCUUGGGAAACAAAAGGCGUGGGAAAAGAGUGUUCCUUCUCACAAAGUCAUUCAACAAGAAGUAAAAGUUGAAAAUACCUUUGAAAACAUGUUUCUUGUUGAACAACCUAGCCUUACCUUUUGUAAAGGAACACUUGCAAGCAUAGUGAAAAAAGAAGAAUCCUUAAAAGAGACUUGCAUAGAUAAAGAUGUAGUGGAUUAUUUCUCAUAUGUGCUAGGAUAUCACCAAGUGAAUGUCAAGUUAUCUAUAAGCAUCUACAAAAACAAAUUUUUAUGUGAGGUAGUGCCUAAAGAAACUUGUCAUGUCUUAUUGAGACAACCAUUGCAAAGUGUACAAAUUCUCAUAAACAAUGGUUGUAACAACGAGACUAUCUUUACACAUAAGAGAAAAAUUCUUCAUGAAGGAGAACUCAUGGGCCAAAUUAGAGUUGAUAAAACUCUAGAGCUUUUAAAAGGAAAACUUUUGUCCCCCAUGAGAAAAGAUGUUCAAAGACAUUACCCUAGAUACAUAUCUUGUUUUAAAACUACACCUAAGCCAAUGUCUCAUGAACUCUAUACUCCUUCACCUUUUGCAAAUGAUCCUUGGGAAGACACAAAUUUCAUAUUAGAGCUUCCUAGGACAACAAAAGGUUUUGAUUCCAUUUUCAUGGAUAUGGAUAAACUCUUCCUUAGAGAAGUGACAAAUCUUCAUGGUUUAUCAUCAAACAUAGUGUUGGCUAGAGCUCCAAAUUUUGAAAAUCAUCAUUUGAGGAUUCUCUUGGAAAAACUUGAAACUAAGUUAUACACUUUAAAUUCUUAUCAUCCUCAAAAGAAUGGUCAAAAUACAUUUGAAAACCUAGCUCUUUUUACUAUGCCUAAAGAAAUCAUGAAAGACAACCACAAUUCUUGGGAUGAGUAUCCUUUUCCUAAUAAGCAUGCAUACAAUGGAGUAGUCCACAAGACUACAAAUAUUUCUACAUUUGAAAUUGCAUGUGGACUUAAUCCUCUCUCGCUUUUUAAGUUGUUACCCUUUCCUAAAGGUAUUGUGCCUAAGGAAAAGGUAACCAAUAUUGAAAAUUUUCAAAUACAUAAGAGGAUUAGAGGACACAUAAAACCAUCAAAAGGAAAAUAUUGUGAAAAGUUGCCAAAAACAAAAGAAAAACAAAAAUGGCAACUUCAUACAAUUAAGUUCUCUCCAAUUGCUCACACUAACUCAUUUGCUUUGUUUCAAGAUUCCCAUAGAUGGACAUUUGAUCCGGGAGGACAAACCUUGACGAAGCAAGAGGCUGCUAUUCGAGAUCAAAUCUAUAGAUCUGGGGAUAUAUCUUCUCAAGAAGGAGGAGAUGAUGGACACCAUCCAGCCACAUCCAUCCCCCUAGAUGAAGAAAAAGCAUUGGAUUUGAGGAUAAAUCCUUUUCAAGAGGGAGGAGAUGAUGGAAGAGGCCCCAACACCAACCCUUUGAGAGGCCACCAAAAUGCUACCUUGAGGCAACCACUAGAGUCAUAGUCAAAGAGGGGUCAAGAGGACACAUUUUACAUGUCAUAGACUCUAGUGUGUCAUAGUUUUUCUUAUUUUCUAGUCAAAGUAGCAUAGUUUAAAUAUUUUUGUAAAUGUGUUGAAACAUGCAAAGUGGUACCUAAAAUGCUAACCUAAGUUUAAUUAGAGUUUCCUACUCCUAAUUAAACUUAGGUCCAUCCCACAAUUAGCCUAAGUGGAGCAUAAGGUUCUAGAACUCCUAGCACAUCUAAGAGGUUUUGUAGAUCAUCUAGCGGUUCUAGUGAAAUCGUUUAGCUACUCCUCUAACAAGACUAUAUAGCCUGUUUGCUAUGUUUUUUUUUUUUAUUUAUAUGUUUAUCUGUUGUAAUCUUAAGAGUGUGUGCAUCUCAUAUUCUGUUUUCCAGAAAUUUUGUUUUUCUUUUUUUUGUUUCUUGCUCUUGCGAGUUGCGCUUUUGUUUCAUUAAUCCGUGUGACUGUGUGUGUCAUGAAUUACCAUUUUUAAUAUGCUAGCAGAGUAGGUUGAAUGACCUGCUUUGCCUCCAAUGUUGUUUCAGUUCUUUUUCUUUCUUGUUGAAUAAUUGUUUUCUCUUGUAGACUAUUUUCUUCUUAUUGUCUUCUUCAUGUAUUUUUCUGAAACAGAAUACAGAAAGCAAGGUUUUGUUAUGAAUCUUUGCAAUAAUCCCGCAAGUUCAUAUUACUUGCAUCUUGGAGAAAAUUCUAGAACUGCGUUUAUCUCUCCUCAACUCAAUGGAGAAAAUCCCUUCACAUAAAGGGAAAAUUGUGGUAUUAAAGUUGACACCUCUCCUAAUUAAGUUUGAUGUUGUUGGUACUUAUCCCAUCAGAACCCUCCAAAAAAAGUUUUGAGCAUUCUAGAGUGCUCUGACAUUCUCAAAAAAAUUGAUUAAAGUAUUGUUAGCACUCACAUAGGUAUUUUUUAAUAUAGCAUAUGAUGACUUGAAAUAGAGAAUAACCUAGUAAUUUUUGUUUAAGGGUUACCUCUCCUAACCAUCCUUUCAAUAAGUGAUUGAUAGAUGUUAUUUAUUCACUUAUUUUUCUAAAUAUCCUUUCUGACGUUAUCGGUAAGUUCGAUAUUAAGCCUUUAAGGUUCGACCCGAGGCUUAGUAGGUUGUGUGGCGUUAUAGGUAAGUUUUGAUAUUAAGUCUCUAAGGCUCGGUCUGAGGCUAGUGGGAUGUAUGGCAUUAUAGGUAGAUUCUGAUCUAUAUAACGAUAAUUUGGAUUGAACGAGAGCCAAUCCUAGAAAAAUUCCUACGAUUAUAUAUUUUAUAGAUGAAUCCCAUUAAUGUCAUGUUUAAGAUAGUUUAAGGCAAGAAUAAAAUGUUAUAAAGGUAAUUUUGUCAUUUAAUAGUGAAUAAGGACUUAAAGUACGAUCAAAUACAAGAAAUGGGCGGAUCAAUAUAGCAUAAAAAGGAUAUACAAGGUAAAAAAAAAGGCAGAAUAAAAAUUGGGGUGAAUUGUUUUCACAAUAUUUUCGUAAUAUUGGAGUCAAUUAAUUGAUUGAUCAGUUCAACUAAUUAUAAAAAGCACAAUAAGUAUAUAUUCAAAAAUUAAACUAGUUGUUACGAGAAUUCAACCAAUUGAUUUAAACGCAAUAAGUAGAAAGUUAUUGAUAAAACAAAUAUCAGAGUAAGAGAGAGAUUGCACAGGAGAUUGCACAGGAGAUUUAUAUUUGUUCACUCUUACAUCCAUCAAGAGCUACAUCCAGUCCUCAGCAAAUUACUAAGAAUUCACUAAAGCAAACACACAAGGUUUACAAGAACACAAAACACUCUUAACCACAUACAAAAUUCAGAAACCCUAUCUGAAUCUGUUUACACCAAAUUGCAGUGAAAACAAUAAGAUUUGAAUACACCUCGAUUAUUACAAAUGAAGCACAAGAAAAAUGUAAACCCAGAAACCUUCUUUACCAAACAAGAAUGAUCCAAGAAGCAAACUCAAACUCCAAGAAUGAUUUUAAAACUUUCUAUUUUUUCUCUCUUAUGAAAAUCGUUUUUUGAAAUAAUCAGAUUACAUCCUUAUAUAAGGUAAUAAUGAUUGUAUAAGAAUUUUGAUCAUUUAAUGAAAACAAUUGUUUCAAUUAAAAAUGCAUUGAUUAAUAUAACAGAAUUAUGUUAAAAACAUUUAAUUGAUUUUCUUUAAAUAGAUGAAAUCAACAAAUUUUAAACCAGUUCUUUUAUCGAAAUAACUUAUUGAUUUCACUUAACAAAAAAGACAAACUAAAAGACAAAUCAUUUUUAAAUCCUUAAAAACCGUAAGUGUUUUAAACCGGAUUGAUACGAUAAAUCAAUAUGUUAAAAAUACUUACUAUAGUCAACAAACAUGAAUAGAAGUAAUUUCAACUUAUUAAUAUAUGAAUCAACUCAUUAAAAAAGACAGAUUUAGAAAACAAAACUUUUCAAGGAGAUUACUAUUCAAGUAACUUGGAUCAUUGUGUAAUGAAAAGUUAUAUAUAAAAAGCCAUGUUUGUUGAACUUUAAGCUCUAGAACGCAACAACACAUGGUAGAUGAUUUCUCUUCCACCGGGCACAAACCAAUCGGUUGUCGUUGGGUACAUAAAAUCAAGUAUAAUUUUGAUGGGACCAUUGAACGAUAUAAAGCUCGUUUGGUCGCCAAGGGCUUCACCCAGGUUGAAGGUAUAGACUAUAAGGAAACUUUUUCUCCUACUGCCAAGCUCACCACUAUUCGUUGUUUAUUAAUUGUUGCUUCCCGCAACUAGUAUACACAUCAACUUGAUGUGAACAAUUCAUUCAUUCAUGUGAAAUUACAAGAAGAGGUGUAUAUGACUCCAACUCCUGGUCUUCGCCCAUAGGGGGAGAAUCCGGUAUGUCUGCUUCACAAAUUAAUUUAUGGUUUAAAACAAGCAUCACGAAAUUGGUUCUCAACUUUUGCAACUACAGUUAAAUCUACUGGUUACAUACAAUCCAAGGCAGAUUAUUCACUUUUUACUAAAUCUCAAGGUAAAAAGUUUACUGUUAUUCUCAUUUACGUCGAUGACAUCCUUAAAAAAAUCUAUUUAAUGUAAAAUCAUUUGGAUUAAAGCUUACUAAAUAUUACUCUUUUGGUCAUGGAAAAGUUAUGCAAUCCAACACAUGAAAAAUAGAAAAGACAAGUAUUGUCUACACAAAAAUUGUAGAAUGUCAUCAUGCAUAUUCAGGUGGAAUGAGUUCAUGAUUCCGCAUUUGCAAACUUUGGAAAAAAAAAUAAAUUUAGUAACCCAUUUGUUCUAACUUUAUAGAUGUAAAAUAUUUAAUAGAGACAAAGAAGUGAAAAAUAUUAUAGAUGUACUUCUACUUAAAAUGACAAACAAGCUGAAUGUAAAACAAAUUUUUAUUAUACAUAACUAAAUAGUAUGCUUCACUAAAGGAUGAAUUGCAUGUAUACUUAUACUUUACAUGAAAUAAUUAGGAGAAGGAGUUCAAUUCAUUCGAUGUCGAGUUUAUUGUUUCACCAUCUCUACUCAAUUCAUCUAGAAAUAAAGCAGGCUUUGGAGGUAUUUCCAAGUCUUCAAUGUCUCCUUCAAGCAUUUCCACUACUCUAUUCAUUGAGGGUCGAUCGCUUGGUUUCAAUUGUAUGCACCAAAGAGACACUAUGAUCAUUUUCUUUGCUAUUAUCUUUUCCUCUUUAGUCAAAUAUUCCUUAUCUAUAUCUUCCUCAUCUUUGAUAUGAUCAUAGAUCCAAAGUGGAAAGUAAAGUUGACUUGAGUGGUCUACAUGGGGAUUUAGAUUCUUCCUCUUGCUCGCCAUCUCCAUCAAAAGCAUUCCAAAGCUAUAAACAUCAGCUUUAUGGGAUAUUCCUCCAAUAUUUUUGUAAAAUAGUUCUGGAGCCAUAUAUCCAAUGGUUCCUCUUGCUAUAGUCAUUGUGACGAUACUAUUAUCUAUUGGAUAUAACUUUGCCAAUCCAAAGUCAGAAACCUUAGGGAUAAAGUUUUCAUCUAGUAAGAUGUUAUGAGGUUUGAUGUCAAAAUGCAAAAUCUGCAUCUCACACCCAUGGUGGAGAUAAGCAAUCCCACGAGCCACUCCAAUUGAUAUAUUAUAUACAUUUUCAUAGCUUAAAUGUAUAUUUCUCUCUUUUGAGAAAAUAAAUUUAUCAAGAGAUCCAUUGGGCAUAAAUUCAUAAACAAGAGCACGCUUUGAGCCACUAACACAAAAUCCAAUUAACCGUACCACAUUUUGAUGAUGUAUUCUUCCAAUAGUCGCAACUUCAUUGAUAAAAUCUUGUCCAUUUGCUUUGGAUUUGCCUAACAUUUUGAUGGCCACAGAAGGCCCACUGCACAACUUUGCCUUAAAGACAUAGCCAAAUCCUCCUUCACCUAACUUCUCUUUGAAACCAGCAGACAUUUUCUUGAUUUCCUUAUAUGAAUAUCUAAUAGGUGCCAAGCUAUUUUGUUGAAGGUAAUUUUCAAUAUUUUCAUACAUUGAUGUAUGUCUUUUUCUCCAUUUACAUAUAAAAAUAACAAUUAAAAAUGGCAAUCCAAACAAAAGUUUGUAGACCCAUAAUAUAGAGAUAUACAUGAGAAUACCUGUAAUAAAUUUUUACUUUAGUGACACUUAUACUAUAAAAUGCAACAAGGUAUUUGUUAAAGUAAAUUUUCGUUCAUAAAGUCCAAACAUGACAUAUCUAUUUACUUGGUAACAUUACAAAAAGAGUAAAUUUAAUGUUUAGCAUAAACAAUUAUCAAUAAAUUUCUUUUUUUUAUGUUACUCUUUAUAUAAAUAAAUUUUUUCUGUAACAUUAAUGUGUCCUAAAACCUAAUUCAGUGAUGGUUGUAAAAUAUAAAAAAAAAACAGAUUUUUUUUAAAUAAUUUAUUUGUUUCUAUAAACAUUUUAAAUUCAAUUUGUGUUUCUUUAACUUUUUUAACGUAUUUACUAUAACUUUUUGUUAUUUACUACAACUUUUUGUCUUCUCUUAUUUCCUAACAUUAGUUCCUACAGGUUCGAUAUUCAUCAUUAAAAACAAAUUAUUACUUCUAAUUCGGUACACUUGCUGAAUUAAAGAGUAAUCAACUAUCCCAAAUAUUGAAUAAAUAACUUUCUUAAAGAGUAAAAAUCACAAUAUAAAAAAUGUUAUCAAAUAAAAAUUAGUCAUAAUAGAAAUUUCUUAACAGACUAUAAUCUAUUGUUUUGCAAAUGUUGAGAGGGAAAAUACCUCGAAGAUUUGAGUCUGGGAUAUUUGACAUGGUGAACCCUUAAAAGAUAAAGUGCAAUCUUGUGUAGUAUGAAAAGUUCUUGAAAUAAACUAAAUUAAAAAAUAAGAAAAAAUAAUAAAUUUUUAGAUUACUUAAUAAACUAAAGAUUUACAAAUUUAAUUUAAAAAAUUGAGGUUUACAAUGUAAUUCAUCAUUUGAAGAAAAUCAGAAAAGUGUGUAAUUAAGAUUAUUGUAUAGUAAAAGAAUAGUUUUUUUAAAAUGGAAUGAAUCAAAUGACUGACAAGAACAAUAAAAAUAAGUUUUAAUAGGUUGUUUAAUAAAUUAAAUAUAUUUCAGUAAUUUAAAAUGAAAACGGAUAAUUCAUAUCCAAUUUAAAAUAUUAGAUAUUAUUUACAAUUGUGCCCAAUCAAUACGGAAAUUAAAAUUUAUCUAUUAAAAAAAAAGUUAAACUUUCAACAAUAUUUUUUAGUAUAAUUGUUCUCAUAUAUUACUUUCACCAAACAGUUCAUAUUAUAACCAAUCAUUGAAAGGGUGAAAAUUUUAUAUUAUAACCAAUCAUUGAAAGGGUUGAAAAUUUUAAAACUAAAAUAGAAUUAAAAAUGACAGUUUAAUCUAAUAAAUUCUAAAUCUUAAAUCAUAAACUAUUGUAAAAAAUGCUUGGAAAUUUUUAAAAACAAAAUAAAAUUUUAAAAAAAAAACAGAGAAUUGUAUCUUGAACCGUAGCCAAAUCUUCUAUUUUUUAACAUUUCUGUAAAUGAAAAUUUUAGAACUAUUAAUAAAAGUCUAUUUUAAUCAUUUUUGUGUAAUUAAAGAAUUUAGAAAUUAAGAUGAUAAAAUUGUACCUGGUAUACAGAAUUUUAGCACUUCCAGCAGUGGCAGACUAAAUGAGCCUGAAAUGAAGGAAAAUAUGAAGUUUAGAAUAGUGGUGAUCUCUACAGUUUGAUAAAGGUUAUAGCGGUCAAUAAGUUUAACAGUUACUUAUUUUAAAGAAAAUAAAUGUUUAAUUUAAUGCAUAUGUUCUUAUAAAUACACGUAAAAUAUAAAAGAUACAAAAAUUGGUUUAAACUAAUUGUUUACAAGCUUUUCAGUUAAUUUAAAUGUAUAUUUAGAAGAUUUAAACUACAUGAGUAAGGAGCAUAAUAACGUGCUUAUCUAAAAAAAUUGGUUAAUAUAUUUUGGUUUAGGAUCACUCACCUUUGAUGCAUUGAAGCUUGUGGUUAGAAGAGUCGACAUAGCAAUCUCUAUCAUCAUCUGGACAAUGUUUCUGACAGACGAGUUGUAUCCAUGAAAUCUCGAAUCCAUAGGCGAGUGCGGUGUGAAUGGAAGAGUAGGAAUGGUUAUCGAAAGUGGAGAGAGAAGUGGGAGCAACAAGCUUUACCUCACACCCAACUUCUAAGUCCUCUGCUUUUAGGUCUCCACCAAUUGCAUAUGAAUACCCCUUCCCCUCCCACUUCACCCACUCUCCACUCUCCACAUACUUCUCUUUCUCUCUCACCGAAUGGUUACAAUUCACAAACACUAUAUGCGAGAAACUCAGAGAUUCCCAAUUUAUAGAGGCAUCUAGACCGGCUUGGUAUGGAUUCGAGUGGUAAAAGGAAGUGUAAGUGUCAGAGAAAUUGGAGCGAGAGAGGAAACGGAGAGGAAGGGAGGAGAGAUUAUGGUGCUGCAGAGCAGGAUCAACAACUCUCACUGUGUAGUUCUUGUAGUUUAUUGACUUCACAUGAUAUUGUCCAGAGUACAGAUACAACACCGUAAAGUUAUGCUCACAACCAAGUUCAUACCUUUCCUCACCACACUUUUCUGGGUCGCCUUUUAAUCGAAAUGGAUAACUGAUGUUGCUGAUUUUACCACAGGAAGAAGGGGGACAAACGUGUUCUUGGUGGUCCUUGGUAGCAGAAAUAUGGUGGAGUAGAAGUAGCAGUACCACCAACACUGCUCUCUCUCUCCACAUCAUGUCCAGACUGUUUCUCACUGAAUUCAAGUGCAAACAAAUCCAAGUUAGAUAUUUAUAUUUAAACAUCACACACUGAAUUUAUAGCUAUAAAGGACCACAUUUUUCCUUUUACAAAAUUGUUUGAAGACUUAUGAUACUUAAAACGUAGACUUUGACUCAGAAACCGCGUUAUCUUGUUUCCGCAACUCAUUUUAAUCCAUACAAAAUUUUAAAUAUUCGUGAAGUGCAUGAAUUUUGAUUUCGGUAUUUAAUCAUCUAAUUUUGUUGAUGGUGUUCUUUGAGUUUCUGAAACCAUCCUAAAUUGUUUGUUUUAAAAGCUUAUAUUUUGAAAAAUAAUUUUAAUGACCUUAGAAUUUCUGUGAGUCCCAAAAUAAUGUUUGUUUGGUUAAGAAACUUCAACAUGUGAUAGGUACAUAAAUUGUUUUAGUGAAUUUUUCCCCGAAAAUGGCCUCAUAUGUUUCUUUGUGUUAAUUUCUUGAACAUAUUCUUCUUGGACAUGGGAGCAAGAAAGAGUGUGUGGUGGGAGAACGAAGCACUAACAAUUUUCUGUAUGUGUAAAAGGUAAAGGAGAGGGAAAAACAUAUGGAAGCAAUUCCAAACACGUAACCCAAAAUUCCAGCAUACUUUUCAACUUGUGGCCUUGAAAACUCAAUAAUUAAAAGUGCGUUUCGAAGAAUUUGACGUAGAUCUCCAAAAUUAUAAUGUCGCAAAAAUGUAUAUGACCUUGUGGACUUUGACCUUGAUAAAGUUAAUAAAAGUGAACAACUCAGAGAUAAUUCUUGAUAGAAUUAAACACUUGAGUUACAUAGGAUGAGCCGUGAGAUCCUCACUCGGCUAAUUAGUAAUUGAAAGAAUAAAAAAUCAUUAAGCAAUUUUUUUUGGUAGAAAAGCUAGCAGGAAAUUUCUAAACCAUGUUUUCUGCAUGCAGGUAUCAAAACCCUCAAGUGCAUGUAGUUUCAUUUGAUGUGGUUGUCAUUAAUACUUCAUGAUCCUCUUCAUCUUGUUCGUGAUUACUAUCUUCUUGAGCACAAUUGGAAGCAUGAUUAUCACCUUUUGAUCUGCACUUAUUUGCAUAAUGGCCACGUUUAUGGCAAUUAUAACACUNNNNNNNNNNNNNNNNNNNNNNNNNNNNNNNNNNNNNNNNNNNNNNNNNNNNNNNNNNNNNNNNNNNNNNNNNNNNNNNNNNNNNNNNNNNNNNNNNNNNACAUGGUAGCUAUUUCAGCAAAGGUCGUGGUGGCUAAAAUCAUGGAGGCGCUUGACGCGGGGGACGUGGUCGCGGAGGACGAGGAGGCAUUUAUAAUAAAUCAAAUGUUGAGUGUUAUAAUUGCCAUAAACGUGGCCAUUAUGCAAAUAAGUGCAGAUCAAAAGGUGAUAAUCAUGCUUCCAAUUGUGCUCAAGAAGAUAGUAAUCACGAACAAGAUGAAGAGGAUCAUGAAGUAUUAAUGACAACCACAUCAAAUGAAACUCCAAACAAUCAGACUUGGUAUUUGGAUACAGGUUGCACGAAUCAUAUGUGUGGUCAGAAGGAGCUGUUUGCAGAUUUGGAUGACUCAUUUCGAACAAAAGUGAAAUUCGGUGAUGACAGGUUCGUUCCGGUGAUUGGAAAAUGGUGAAUUCUUAUUACAUUAAAGAAUGGUGAUCACAGGUACAUUUAUGAUGUUUUCUAUGUACCUGACAUGAAAAGUAAUCUGUUGAGUGUGGGACAACUGGCUGAAAAGGGUUACGUGAUGCACAUAGUUGAAAAUAAAUUCUCAAUUUUUGAUAGGUAAUUUGAUUCUUAAAACCUUUUUAUCAAAAAACCGCAUGUUUCCAGUAGAUAUUCAUAUGGGUGAUUUAAAGUGCUUGAAUGUAAUAAUGAAUAAUGAAUCGUGGUUAUGACAUUUACGCUUUGGGCACUUAAAUUUUCAGAGUUUGGAAAAUCUUUCCAAAAGAAAUUUAGUGAAUGGUUUACCCCAUAUUUAUCACCCUAAUCAAUUGUGUGAGGCUUGCAUCUUUGGAAAGAAUCACAGGAUACCAUUUGUUAAGGAGUCUUGGCGUGCAAAAUUUCCUUUGGAGCUUGUUCAUACAGAUGUUUGUGGCCCGAUGAACAUAUCAUCAGUUGGAGGUAAUAAGUAUUUUUUAACCUUUAUUGAUGAUUUUUCAAGGAAAACCUGGAUUUAUGUAUUGAAAAGCAAGGAUGAGGUAUUCCACUGCUUUAAAAUAUUUAAAGCAUUUGUUGAAAGAGAGAGUGNNNNNNNNNNNNNNNNNNNNNNNNNNNNNNNNNNNNNNNNNNNNNNNNNNNNNNNNNNNNNNNNNNNNNNNNNNNNNNNNNNNNNNNNNNNNNNNNNNNNUGAUGGAGCGACCAAGAAGGCAACAACGACAACCUGUACACCUUCAAGAUUGUGAAGUAAAUCUUGAUGGUGAAGUUGAUGACAAUGGAGAUUUAGUUCACUUUGCUUUUCUUGCAGAAUCAGAACCUGUGAGACUUGCCGAUGCCAUUCAACACCCGAAAUGGCAAAAGGCUAUGAAUGAAGAAUUGAUGGCGAUUGAGAAAAACAAUGUCAUGACUCAAAUUGGGAAGGUUGUUCCAAAUCAGAAUUAAGGGAGGAUGUUGGUUAUUAAUUCAUAUUUUAUUAUUAUUAAUUCAGAUUUUAUUACCCUUAAACUAUUUUACCGUUAUAUUGCAUUAAUGGUCAAUUUACAGGCCUGUUAGUAUUCCUAUUUUAUAGCUUCCAGUAAUUGUGAUUUUAUUAUAUAUAUGAUUGAGUAAAUCAAAAUGAAUAACUUUAGUUUUGUAAUUUUUUGCAAUUACGUUCAAUCGGUUGCUAUAACCUUUUGCCUUCUCUUAUUUCCUUCAAUUAGUUCCUACACACUCACCAUUUAACGUUUUGUAUAAAGUGACGUUUUAUGUGUAUAAUUAAAAUUGUCGUAAUUUAUUUGAUCGGAAAACGAUUUCAGUGAAAAAACAACACAUAAACAUCACUAUAUACUAUACAAUAUGAUGUUUUUAACUAUCAUUAUUUUAAGAAAAAUUUGAAAAACAAUACUUAAGUUUCAAUAUACGUAAAUUGAAUACUAAAUAAAUAGAAUUCAGUCACCAAUUUAUAAUCUCAUUAUUUAAUAAAUUUGUUUUCAUAAUUAAACAACUAAACAAAUUUAUAAUACCAUUUAAUUAAAUCUAUUUUCACAAUAAAAAAAUUAAAUACUACUCAUAGUUAUAAUAAACAUUCAUUUAUUGCAUUGAAAACUGAACACAAAAUUAAUAGUUGUUCAAAAGUACACCAAGAUAAAUACACAAAAUAUUUUUAAAUAUGAUAACAUCUUAUUAGACUAUUACAAUCAUCUUCCUUAAUAUUUACUUCCACCACUUGAUUCUAUUAUUUUGUUGGGUGAUAAAGCACAAUUUCCAACCUAAGGUGCCUACAUCUAAUGCUUAAAAUAGAUAAAAAAUAAUUUCAGAUUAUUCAUUUUCAAUUUUUAUAAUUAUAAAAUAAAAGAAGACAUUAAUAAUAAAUAUUUAAGUAUAUUAAGUUAUACCUCAUUCCAAUUGACAUAAUUUUAGGUUAUUUGAAAAACCUUUCUUUAACAUCAUUAAAAGUUCUAGAUGUAUUAUAAACUAGAGAGUUAUAAAAAUAAAGAAAUGUAUUUUUCUAUUCAAGAAUAACAAUUAAAUAUACAAUCAUUGUAAUUUUGAAUUUCUUUACAGUUUUUAUUAAAAAAAAUUACAAUUGCAAUUACAACUACAACUAAUUUAUUUUAUUGUUAUCCUUAAUGGGAUGUUUUUUCUUACUCUUGAAAGAAAUAAAAUAAUGUAUAUAUUUGUAGUAGGCAAAGCUGUAGUAGGCAAAUAUAGGUUUCAAUAUUUUUCCAUCUUCUAGCCUGAAACAAUCUCAAAUUAUAGAAAAGCUUAGCAUUUAGUUUGCUAAAUGUAGACAACACUAAUAAUUAGCAAGAUAUUGAUUCUAAUUAUCUAGUGGUCUGUUGGAGAGAGUUCAUAAAAUUUAGUUAAAGCGAGAUUGUAGAUAAUCUGCUGAAAAGAGUUAUUUAUGUAUUUUUCAUUAAUUUCUCAUAGAAAUUAAUAGUAAACGCUCUCUCAACCAUUUAAACAAAUGUCAUUUUAAUGUACAAUCAACAAACCAAUGUCAAUGAAGUCUAUGUUUCGUUAAAGCCACGUAAGAUUUUACUUGAGUGAAUGAAUAUUAUGGUAAAGAAUACUUUGUUUUAGAUGAUUAAGGCAAGUAAAAUAAGAAUAUGGAAUGUGUGUACGGUAAGUUCGUUAAUUUAAGAUUUAUUCAUAAAGAAUCAUUUCAUUGAUAUAAUAGGUUUCUAUUUGUUCUUAGAUUUUUUUAUGAAUAAAUAUAGUCUACUCAUAUAUUGUUUUUGUUAACACAUGAAUUUUAAUAUAGUUUUUUAUUUUUAUUUUUUAUUUUUUUUAAUAAUAUAUUUUUUCAUGUGAUGACACUCACAUAUUAUUGCUAUUACUUGAGGUGUCAACCUAACUGAAAUUUCAAGUUAUAUAAUGAUGCUUGACAUGAAAGUUUUUUAUAAAAAAAAAAUAAAAAAAUUAUAUUUGGUUCAUACAUAUACAUUAUAUACAUUUGAUCCAUUUAGAUAGUAACGUUCUAAUGAAAAAGUAAAUUUAAUAUACUUAAACAAAUAUCAAUAUAUUUGGUUGUUGGAGUUGCUAAAUAUAAUGUGUUUCUUUUUCCUAUGCCACAAGAAAAUUUUGUCUUUAACAUUGGUAUACAUAUCUUAGACCAAAUUGACAAAUGGUUACCGAAAUUGAAAAAUAUUUUUUUAGUAAAAUAUGUUUUUCGUCAUUCUAAAUUUUUUUAAACAGUUUUUCUUUCAAUUAUUUUGACUUAUUUUCAUACAUCUGUUUGGAAUUUGAGUUUUGGUUCUGGAGGUAACAUUUAAUAGCGUUUAUUAAGCACUAUUCAAACUACUCUAAAUAUAAAAGUGGUAUAUUUUAAAAAUAAUGGAAAAAAUAUUUAGAGUGAUAAAAAUAUAAUUUUGAGAAAUAUAAAUAAAUAAUAUUUUUUUUCUGCGUUUGUUUAUUGCAACGUAGGGAUCAGAAUAAACAAAUUAAGCCAAUUUUAUGUAUGUCCACUUCUUUUACUGCAAACUAUAGCAUAUAAAAAUUCUUGUCCAGAUGAUAUUAAAAUUAAAAAAAACUGUAAAUUAAGUUGUUGUAAAGUGUGUGAACUUUAUAUAUAUCUCUUAUAAUUAAAGCAUAGGUAAAUUAAGGUGAUAAAAAUUGUAAAUAUAAUUUUAAGGAAUUAGUUUGAGAACCCAAUUAAAGAAGUAUUUCAUGACUUACUUAAAUAAAGACGAGACAUAAAUAUAUUAUAGUAAAUAAUGGAAAAAUGAUCGAAAUAAAUUUUUAUAUCCUGAUUGAGAAACAAUAUUAAUAAUGCAUUUGAUUUUUUUUGUACUUUAAAUAUUUCCAAAUUAUUCUAGGACUAAAAGUUCCACCACAUGUAGAACUGUGGCGGAAAUAUCUUUCCAUUAAUAUCGUGUGUCUUAUAUAAACACUUGAUAUGCACGUAUAUAAUUGACGCAGUCAAAUGACAAUAUACUUUGAAAUUAAUAAUUAUUGAUUUAUUUUUAUCAGUUGAACGUAGGUAUACACUAACAUUUAAUUUAAUGUGUUAAAAUUUUCACAUCCAUUAAAAAUUAGAAUAUUAAAUGAAUACAAAAUAUAAUCCAAACUCUCUAUCGAAGUUAAAUGAAUUUGAACAAAUCAUAUAACUAAUUCGACAUCAGAAUUCAUAUGUUCUUUUCAUCAGACAACAACAACCCAAGUUGUGUGGCUUCUUCCUCAUCAUCAACUUAUAAUUUCUAACCUCUCUGGUACGCUUGUUAUUACAAGGCUAUUUUUUUUUUUUCAAAUUCCAUAUAUUAUGUAUUGUAAAACACAUAAAUUCUUUUAGGUGAAACUUAUGUGUCAACUUUCAAUCAAUAUUCACUGUCGGUCAUUAAUUCAAAUUUUAUUUACUAAAUUAGAGUUUGAAUUAGUCUUGAAUUGUUGUCCUAGUUUACAGUCAGUAUUACGUUAGUGGUUUUGAAAGUGUACAAGGCUAUUAGUAUUGUGUUAGUGUUUAGUUAUUACUUAUAUUUUAUAGUUUUUGGUAGUUGUAAUUUUAUUUUUAUAUAUUGUCGAAGUAAAUCAACAAAAUGCAUGCAGUAUAUUGUCUUCUAUUAUUUCUUUCAAACAGUUUCUACAAUUGUUAUCAAAUCCAGAUUGUCUGUUAUCAUGAAAUCUACCUAAUUAUUGGUCCCUAUCUUUGAUUGAAAAAAAUUACAAUCGAUGAUGCGUGCAGAUGAGAGUUUUGUUCGAUUAUCAUGAGUUAUGGGAUGUCAUUGAGAAUGGAGUGUCUGCAUUAGCUGCUAAUGCAACUGAGACGCAAUGAGUAGCGCAUCGUGACCAGAAGAAGAAGGACAAUAAGACUUUGUGUCUCAUCUAUCAAGGGAUGAAUGACGAAACCUUUGAGCAGAUAAAAGGAGCAACAACUGCAAGUGAAGCUUAGACCAUUUUGUUAACCAAUUAUAAAGGCGAUGACAAGAUCAAGAGGGUGUGCCUUCAAACUUUAAGACGCCAAUAUGAACUGCGGUAGAUGGAAACCACAAAGACUGUUGAUGUUUAUAUCAAUAGAGUUCUUGCCUUAACGAAUGAGAUGAAGACCAAUAGUGAAACACAUUCGGAGCAGGCAAAGGUGGAGAAGAUUUUGAGGUCUUUAACUCCCAUAUUUGAACAUGUUGCCGCAAUUGAAAAGGCCAAUGCCCUUUUAACAAUGACAGUAAGGUUAUUGUCCGGUUCCCUACGAACGUAUGAGUAGUGGAUGAAUGACAAUAAGAUUGAAAAACCAAUUGAACAGGCUUUACAAGCACAAUCCUCAAUUCCAAGCCUCAAUUGGUAACUCCUAUCAUAAGCACGGUAGUUCACAAGGUAGAGGACGUGGACGUGGUGGUAGCUAUUCCAAUAAAGGUUGUGGUGGCCAGAACCAUGGAGGUGCUGAGCAAAACAACACUGGUUCCAAUCACAAUCUGAGUUCAAAUAACUCUUGGCGCGAAGGACGUGGUCGCGGAGGACGUAGGGACAUGUAUAAUAAAUCAAAUGUGUAAUGUUAUAACUACCAUAAGCGCGACCAUUAUGCAAAUGAAUGUAGAUCAAAAGGUGAUAAUCAUGCUGUCAAUUGUGCUAAAGAAGACUAUAAUCACGAACAAGAUCAAGAGGAUCAUGCAUUACUAAUGGUAGCCAUAUCAAAUGAAACUCCAAACAAUCAGACGUGGUAUUUAGAUACAGGUUGCAAGAAUCAUAUGUGUGGUCAGAAGGAGCUGUUUGCAUAUUUGGAUGACUCAUUUCGCACAAAAGUGAAAUUCGGUGAUGGCAGAUUCGUUUCGGUGACUGGAAAAGGGCAGAUUCUUAUCACAUUGAAGAAUAGUGAUCACAGGUAUAUCUAUGAUGUUUUCUAUACCUGAUAUGAGAAGUAAUCUAUUGAGUAUGAGACAGUUUGCCGAAAAGGGUUACGUGAUGCACAUAGUUGAAAAUCAAUUCUCAAUUUUUUAUAAAGAAGGUAGCUUGAUUCUUAAAUUUUUUUUAUAAAAAAAUCGCAUGUUUCUAGUAUAUUUUAAUAUGGGUGAUUUCAAGUGCUUGAAUGCAAUAAUGAAUAAUGAAUCGUGGUUAUGACAUUUACGUUUUGGCCACUUAAAUUUUCAGAGUUUGGAAAAAUCUCUCCAAAUUGGUUUACCCCAUAUUCAUUACUCUGAUCAAUUGUGUGAGGCUUGCAUUUUUGGAAAGAAUCACAGGAUACCAUUUGUUAAAGAGUCUUGGCGUGCGAAAUUUCCUUUGCGCUUGAUCAUACAGAUGUUUGUGGUUUGAUGAACAUAUCAUCAAUUGAAGGUAAUUCGUAUUUUCUAACCUUUAUUGAUGAUUUUUCAAGGAAAACCUUUGAAAAACAAUGAUGAGGUAUUCCACUACUUUAAAAUAUUUAAAGCAUUUGUUGAAAGACAUAGUGGCAGACUAAUUAAGAUGGUGCGUAGUGAUGGAGGGGUGAGUACAAGUCUAAUGAGUUCAAAAGACAUUGUGAAGAACUUGGGUUGCAGCAUAACAUAACAUGUCCCAACACUCCUCAACACAACGGAGUAGCCGAGAGAAAGAAUAGAACAAUCAUGGAUAUGGCGAGGAGCAUGCUUAAAGCGAAAGGUAUGCCAAAUUAUUUUUGGGCUGAAGCUAUAACAUGUGAGGUAUAUUUGAUAAACAUAUCACCCAUUUGGAGUGUUCCUAACACAACUCCGAUUGAGGCAUGGAGCGGAUUCAAACCCAAUGUGCAACACUUGAAGGUAUUUGGGUCAAUUACUUAUGCUCAUGUCCCCAAGGCAACAAGAUCGAAGUUGGAUGAUAAGGCAAUGUAGAUCACUUUCAUUGGAUAUAAGCAUGGGGGAUACAAACUGUACAAUCCAAUGACAAAGAAUGUGAUUGUUAGCCGUGAUAUUACAUUUGCCGAAGAUGAGGAAUGGCAAUGGAAUGCAGCAGUUGAAAUGGAUUCGAAAAAACGAUAUAUUUACAUUUUGAACGAUGAUGUGAAAGAUGGAGUAACUCUUGAAGCACCUGUCGUUCAACCUGAAGUUGUAAUUCAACUUGAAGUUGCAGCUCCAAUUGCAACUACGAUGGAGCGACGAAGAAGGCAACAACGACAACCUGUACUCCUUCAAGAUUACGAAGUAAAUCUUGAUGAUGAAGUUGAUGACAAUGGAGAAUUGAUUCACUUUGCUUUACUUGCAGAUUUAGAACCCGUGAGACUCGCAAAUGCCAUUCAAUACCCCAAAUGGCAAGAGGCUAUGAAUGAAAAAUUGAUGGCGAUUGAGAAAACAAUACAUGACAACUCACUGAUCUUCCGAAAGGACACAAAGCAAUUGAUGUGAAGUGGGUGUACAAGAUUAAAGUGAAAGCAAAUGGUGAGAUUGACAGAUACAAGGCAAGGUUGGUAGCAAAAGGAUUUGAGCAAAGAGAAGGCUAUGAUUACGAAGAAAUAUCUUCUCCUAUAGCUCGAAUGGAAAUAGUGAGAUUAAUCAUUGCUUUGGUUGCACAAAGGCAAUGGAAAAUUCACCAAAUGGAUGUCAAGUAUGCGUUUCUAAACGACCUACUUGAUGAAGAGGUUUAUGUAAAGCAGUCGUCGGGUUUCAUACAAUCCGGCAAAGAGGAGAAGUUGUACAGACUAACUAAGGCUUUAUAUGGUCUUAAACAGACACCAAGAGCUUAGAACAAAAGGAUUGAUUCAUUUUUCUUCAUGCCACUGGAUUAAAAAAAUGUGCAUCAGAUCAUGGUCUUUAUGUAAAGACUAAUGAUUAUGGAGAUUUGCUAAUUUUAUAUCUCUAUAUUGAUGAUGUGAUUUUUACAGUAAGUAAUCUCAAAAUGAUUGGUGACUUCAAGCAUAUCAUGAUGAAGGAAUUUGAGAUGUCUGAUCUCGGUCUUAUGUCCUACUUUUUGGACAUUGAAGUCAUCCAAGGAGACGAUAAAAUCUUUAUUCAUCAGAGAAAAUUUGCUGCUGAGUUUUUAAAGAAGUUUAAGAUGGAGGAUUCAAACUCAGUUAAGACUCCAAUUGAAACUGGAAUUCAGCUUACGAAGGAAGGUGACUCACUUGUACUAGACUCGACUUAUGUUAUGCUGUGGGAUUGGUUCGUCGGUACAUGGAGUCACCUCGACGGGUUCAUUUACAAGUUGUAAAUAGAAUUAUGCGCUACAUCAAAGGUACUACAACUCUUGGUCUAUUUUACUUUUCAUCUAAGAAGAUUGAGAUUGUCGAAUACUCAGAAAAUGAUUGGGGUAGAGAUUGAGACGAGAGGAAGAGCACGAGUGGUCAUUGUUUUAUGCUCGGAAAAACUGUUUGUUUGUGGUCAUCAAAAAAACAGUCAAUUAUUGCAUUAUCCACUUGUGAAGCUGAGCAUGUAACAGCAGCAACAAGUGCUUGUAAAUCAAUUUGGCUCAACAAUAUUAUGACUCAAAUUGGUAUUAAUCUCGAUGUUCCAAUCAAUAUUUAUUUUAACAAUGUCUCUGCAAUUAAUCUAGCAAAAAAUCCGGUUUUUCAUCAAAGAAGUAAACACAUUGAUUUUCGAUAUCACUUCCUGCGAGACCAAGUUAGGAAGAACAAAUUAGAAUACUGCAGAUCAGAAGAUCAGAUAAUAGAUAUUCUAACUAUGCCAUUGAAGAUCGAUGCUUUCAUCAAGUCAAGAGAUCUGUUGGGCAUGAAGGUUGUUGGUCAUUAAUUCAAAUUUUAUUUUUACUAAAUUAGAGUUUAAAUUAGUCUUGAAUUGUUGUCCUAGUUUACCGUUAGUAUUGCGUUAGUGAUCUAGUGGUUUUGAAAGUGUAGUCCUAGUUUAUAAGGUUGUUAGUAUUGUGUUAGUGUUUAAUUAUUGCUCCUAUUUUGUAGCUUCUGAUAGUUGUAAAUUUUUUUUUUAUAUAUUGUAAAAGUAAAUCAACAAAAUGUAUGAGUUCAGUACUAUAUUGCCUUCUAUUAUUUCUUUCCAAUAGUUUCUAUACUUUCUACCAAAUAAUCUGUGAUAAAUUCCCUUUUGUACAAAAAGGAAAACAAUUUGAUGUAAAUAGUCGAAAAUUGAUCAAAGAUGGUUCUAUUCUUGAAAACCUAAAUUUAUAAGAAAAUUGACAUAUUAAAAAGAAAAUUCAGUGUAGAUUAGAAUUUAUGUUAUUAUUUUAAAGUGUCAAUAAAAAUAUUGUUGUAUCGAUGAGCCUAUCAUCUGCUUAAGACUAAGGUUGUGUACUCAUAGGUCAAGGUUCAACCCUUGCCAUCAGAAAUAUUAUCUAAACUGAAAGAGUUAUUAGGGUUAUUUGGUUUCAACGAGUGAUUUACGAGAAGAAAGAAACUUUCACAAAUCAAAUAAUAAAAAAUUAAUAAAUUUUUUAGAAAAAAGAUUAAACCUUAUUUUUUCACAAAUAUGCAAAAUUUUGUGGAAAAUCAUGGUUAAAAUAUAUAUUAUAUUAAAUAUAUAUUUUAUAAUUAUUAUAUUAAAUAUACAUUAUUAUUUCCUUUAUAUUCAUAUUCAUAUUUAUAUUUAUAUUAUAAUAAAAUAAGUAUAAUUAACUAUGUAAUAUAAUAUAAAUAAUAAUAAUUAUUAAAAUAUUAAUAAAUAUAUAUAAAAUGAUAAUUAAAAUAAAAUACUAAUAAUAAAUUUAUGAAAUAACAACUAUAAUAAAAUAAUUAAAAAAGUUAUAAAUAAUAAAUAAUAAUUAUAAAAAUAAAUAAUAGUAAUAAUAGUAAAAUUAAAAUUAUUAAUUAAUUAUAAAAUUAUUAUCUUUUAUUUAGUUAAAAUUAAUUUAUAUUAAUAUAAUUAAAUUCAUUAUUAUCUAUAAAUCUAUAAAUAUAUAUAUAUAUAUAUAUUAUUUUAUAACUUUUAAAAAUUUAUUAUAUCUAUGAAAUCACUCACAAAAUUUUAUAAAUUUUUUCUUAACUUUUCACUUUUAUUUUACUUAAUCCAAACAAUCUGACUUUAUCUUUAAAUUCACUUUUUCAAAUCUACAGGGGAGUUCUCUGAAGAAGAAAUUAGGACUGCGGUUUGGAAUUGUGAAAGUUCUAAGAGCCAUGACCCUGAUGGAUUUAAUUUUGGUUUCAUAAAGUUUUGUUGGGAAAUUUUAAGGAUGGAUGUGAUGUCAGCGGUGAAGGAUUUUGCGACAAAGAGCCAUUGGCCUAGAGGUUCAAAUGCUUCCUUCCUUUGUCUUGUUCCAAAAGUUGAAAAUCCUUUGCAGCUUGGUGAGUUUAGGCAUAUUUCUUUGAUAGGAUGUUUGUAUAAAAUUAUCUCAAAAGCGUUGUCUCUACGUUUGAAAAAGGUGAUUAGCAAAGUGAUUGAUGUUAGACAGUCUGCUUUUCUUGAAGGUAGGGGUUUGUUGGACAGUGUGCUGGUAGCGAAUGAGGUGCUGGAAGAAUAUAAAAGGAAAAAGAAGAGUUGUGUGUUCUUCAAAGUUGACUAUGAAAAAGCAUAUGACUCGGUUAGCUGGGAGUUCCUAUAUUAUAUGUUGGAAAGAUUGGGUUUUUGUGCUCAAUGGAUUCGAUGGAUAAAGUGUUGUUUAGAAUCUGCUUCAGUCUCUGUAUUAGUGAAUGGCAGUCCAACUGGGGAAUUUACUCCUCGGAGGGGACUUCGUCAAGGUGACCCGCUUGCUCCGUUCCUCUUCCUUAUAGUUGCAGAAGGGUUGGCUGGGGUGUCUAGGAUGGCUGAAGAGAAGAAUUUGAUUGAUAGUCUGGAGGUUGGAAGAGAUAAGGUGAAGGUUAGUAUGUUACAAUAUGCUGACGAUACAUUAUUCUUUUGCGAAGCGAAUACCAAAAGUGUUUUUAAUAUUAAGGCUAUCUUGCUUUGCUUUGAGCUCGCUUCUGGGCUUAAGGUGAAUUUUUUAAAAAGCAGUAUUGGCGGGAUGGGGUUGGAUCAAUGUUCGCUUCAGCGUUUUGCAGCUACUCUUAACUGUAAGGUGAUGGUAACUCCUUUUGUCUAUUUAGGGUUACCGGUAGGAGGUUGCCAUAAGCGCAGUGUUUUUUGGAACGGGGUGUUAGAGAGAGUUCAGGGCAAGCUGUCGAGGUGGAAAGGCAGGUGUUUGUCGAUGGCUGGGAGGAUCUGUUUGAUUAAUUCAGUCCUCUCCUCAGUUCUGUUAUUCUUUAUGUCCCUAUUCAAACUGCCAUCUGGGGUGGCUGACAAGUUAGUUCGGAUCCAAAGAAAUUUCCUUUGGGGGUGGGGUUCUGACAGAAGGAAGAUUGCUUGGGCCUCUUGGAAUAAGGUUUGUGAGCCUCGGGACUACGGGGGUCUUGGAAUCAUUGACUUAAAGACUUUUAACCUGGCCCUGCUAGGCAAGUGGAUUUGGAGGUGGGGGUCGGCCAAGGGAGGUUUGUGGAAAGAGAUUCUUGACUCUAAAUAUGGUGGAUGGAGGAAUUUGAGAGCGGAAGGUAAACCCUGCAGGGGUUCUCUUUNNNNNNNNNNNNNNNNNNNNNNNNNNNNNNNNNNNNNNNNNNNNNNNNNNNNNNNNNNNNNNNNNNNNNNNNNNNNNNNNNNNNNNNNNNNNNNNNNNNNNNNNNNNNNNNNNNNNNNNNNNNNNNNNNNNNNNNNNNNNNNNNNNNNNNNNNNNNNNNNNNNNNNNNNNNNNNNNNNNNNNNNNNNNNNNNNNNNNNNNNACUGGUUUAAUGGUGUUUGGAUUUGGCAUUUGUGCUGGCGUAGAUCCCUCUUUGACUGGGAGAAGUUGUUGGAGGAGCAGUUGAGUCAGUUGCAGCAAGGGGUGAAGAUGGAUGUGGGAGGGGUGGAUAGCUGGGUCUGGAAGGCUGAGGGGUCUCAAAGUUUUAAUGUUAACUCAGCUUAUAGCAAGGUAAGGAGGGUUAGUGAUGGGGAGUCCUCUCCGACCUACUGUAGGUUGUGGAGGUGUAAAGCCUUGCCUUCUGCUGUAUUCUUGGCCUGGAGAGUUUUGGAAAAUAGGAUUGCAACUAGGGUUAAUUUGGUAAGGCGCGGGAUGGUGGUUGAAAAUCCUGUAUGUUGCUUGUGUGGGAAGGUCGAUGAGUCGUCGAGUCACUUGUUCGCCGUUUGUGACUUUGCUUGGAGGGUCUGGUGCCUUUACUUUGAGUGGCUUGGAGUGUCGUUCGUAAUCCAUUCGGAUCCAAUGCAAAAUUUUAUUCAAUUCAGGUUGAGUCAGGCAUCUGUUUCGGUUAAUGAUGUUUGGGGGGCAAUUUGGGUUGGAAUUGUGAGUGAAAUCUGGAAGCAUAGGAACUCGGUCGUCUUUAAUGGAGGAGUGGCAGAUGCGUUAGAAGUUUUUCCCUCAACACAAGUAAAGGUGUGGUCUUGGAUUGCUGCAAAGUCCUGCGAAGUUUAUUUUUCCUAUCCCUGUUGGGUUCUGGAUCCUUUGGCCUGUAUACGGCUGAUUCGGUAAAGCUAGUUAGCGCUUGGUUUGGUUGGUCUUUUGACCGACGGUUUUGGGUGUCGAGUUAGGAGUUAAAUUGUAUGUGUGUUUGUAAAAGGGUUGAACCACCCCUGAAGUGGUUCUCAUUUAUUGAUUUUUUAUUGCUGAUAAAAAAAAAAAAAAACUAAUCCAAACAAAGGAUUAUAGUUGAAUCGAUCUUGAAAAACAAACUUAGAAAUUAAAGGUAUUCGAAAAAGUUAGAUUUUUGUUAUGACCAAUAAGAAAAUAAAAGAUCUCAUUGACCAAAUCAAACCAAUAAAGGAAGCAUUUUCAAAACUUUUCUUACUUACAAAAAAGCUUUUAAAAAUUAUUUUAUUUUAUAUUUUUUUUCUUCUUUUCCAUUCAUUUUUGACAAAACCAAAAAAAAAUUUCCAGAACACCAUCCCAUAAUUUGAUCACCAUAUAAUUUAUUUUGGAUGAGCAUUCGCUAAAUUCAAAAAUUGAAAGUCGAAAUUAUAUUUUUGAGAAACCAAAUUUUGAUGACAUAUGGAAUGACCUUCUUCCACCCUUGGUCAUUAUCGAAAAAAAUAUCUCCAAAAUUCGGAGAAAUUUUCUUUUGAAAAUAAACCAAAAUCUCACCAUGAUCAUAAAUCAGUGCGCUACUUGGAGAAAAAAAGUCCGGUUGAGUCACUGCACACCAAUUCCCACGCUCAAGCUUUUCCACUAAAAUUGUUUGAGAAAUUGAACCACUAAAUCAAAUAGCCAAAUCACGUAAUCACCAAAUUUUCUACUAAUUCACUAAAUUGGUUAAUAACACAAGCAAAUACUGUAUUGGUUUUCAACCAAUUUGAACAAUCAACACACCAUAUUUUUUCACCAAACCUGUACAGUAAAACAACAACACAAACAUAUUUUGUUUCCUGCUCCAAAAUUUGAAUCAUAAAAUGCAGUGAAUCAUCACACAAAAUAAUUUUUUACAAAAACAUUAUCUGCAGCUUAAACCAAUACACAAAUUGCUUCAAAAACUCCACCACAAAAUCAACGCGACUUUUUACAAAUCACUAAUUCAGGAACAUAAUAACUAAACUUCUCUAUUUUUCGAAAAUUUCACAGGAUUGAACAAUUCCUAUUGGAAUUCGCACUCAAAUGGAACUCUAGUGUAGAAUUAACGCACCUCUUACUCAGCUGUCAACGUCACUGGAAUUUCACCGUUUCCAACUUCAAUUUGCUUGAGUAAUUUUUCGUUCGCACAAUACAAAUUGCUUCAAAUUCAGUUUACAAGAUUGGAUCAGAACCACCGAAAGUAAAUCACCAUUCCAAUAAUAUUCUCCGUUCACUGAUUUUAGGUCACCUUAAACUGCUAUUUCCGUUCACCGAUUCCGUUUGUCGGAAUCCGCAAGAGUUCUAUUCACAAAUCGCAAAUAAAGAAUUGCACCGAUGCGCGCCAAUGAAUUCAUUUUUGUUUCUGCCUUUUCAAUAUCGUGCCAAGAACUCCAGCAAAAUUGAUGAACACAAUGGGAAAACGUAAACCGAAAAGUAAUCAACACCAUUGUAGGGCAGUGGUCUCGAACUUGAGAAGAAGAAUGUCACCCAUAAAUUUAUAUGAUGUCAACUUCAAAGCAAUUGACCCAAUGUAGGAUGAUCUUAUGAUUAUCACGUUAGAAGUAGAGAACUUUACACUCAUGAAAAUCCUGGUGUAUCAGGGAAGCUCACUACACAUUUUCUACUGGAAAACCUUUAAAAAGUUGCAAAUCCCAGAUGUUGACAUCCAAAGCUUAUGGUGAUGAGAUAGUGUGAUUAUUGGGAGCGAGUAUAAAUAUGAAAGGUUACAUUGACUUGUUUUCUAAUUUGGGAGAAAGAAGUUUGAAAAGUCAGACUAUCAAGAUCUAAUACUUGAUAAUCGAUACAAAUACCUCAUACAACAUUCUCCUGAGAAGAUUAUCCUUAAAUAACCUAGAAGCUAUAGUGUCAACAUCAAACUUGACAAUGAGGUUCCGUUAUGCAUCCAGAGACAUCAUCACGAUCCAUGUCAACUAAAAAACCGCGAGAGAAUGCUAUGUUAUCAUCUUGAGGAUCACACCCUUAUAUCCUAGUUGAGAUUGCCAAACGACAAAUGAUUGACCUCAAUCCAUAAUAAAUGAUGAUGUAAAGGUCAAGCUUGACAAAGACACAAUCACCAUCUGAUUAAGGCACAAAGGGCAAGAAACAAGGAUAAAGACCAACCUCGUAGAAUCUGAGGCCAAGAUGAUAUAUUGGGUCCCCUUUCAAAAUGUUAACCUAUUCACAUGGACAGUCGAAAACAUGUCAGGGGUAGACCCUAAGGUGAUCUUGCACAAGUUAUUCGUGUAUAAGGAAGCUCACACAAGGUUGCAAAAGAAGACAAAAUUAGGGGAUUAGAAGCGGAAAGUUGCCAAAGAGGAGAUUGAUAAGCUUAUCAAUGUUAGAUUUAUCUAGGAAGCACGAUACACAACAUGGUUAGAAAACAUAAUUAUGGUAAAAAAAGUUAGUGAAAAAUUAAGAAUUUAUACAUACUAUAUGGACAUCAAUAAGACAUAUCCUAAAGAUGUUUGUCCCUUACAAAGUAUGAACUGCAAGAUAAAAGGUCCUCAAUUUUCUAAAUGCCUACUCACAAUAUAACCAAAUAUGAAUACACUCAAAAGAUGGGAAGAAGACGAUUUCUAUGACCAACAACACUAACUGUUUUUCUACAAGUUUGAUUCAACUUUCUAUGAACAAACGACAACAAUUUCUCAAAAAAAACUUAUGCACCCGAAAUGGAUGUUCUUGCAACUCUAACAUCUAAUGCAAAACUAAUAGUAAUGUUGUAACACACAACUAUUGAAACAAAGACUUAUUCCUAAACAUGUUUAUGAUAUUAGUCGCAAAGAUAUCUACAACACUACACUAGUUAAUAAAAAAAAUAAAAUAAAAUAUAUAUAUAUAUAUAUAUUUAUUUAUCUACGAAAGAAAAACUCAAUUUAUCUACGGAAGAAAUCUGUAAGUAACAGUCAAAAUUCGUAGGUAAAUAAGCAUUACCUACGGAAAAAAAAUCUGUAUGUAAUGUGGGCGUAGAUAAUUCAACAUCUUUUAUUAUUAAAAUUUCAAUUAUUAUUUGAUUUUUUAAUUUUUUUUUAAUUAUUAUUUACAUAUAUUAUUUAAUGCCUAUUUUUAUGAUUAUUAUUAACAAUUAUUAUAUAUGUUUUGACAAUUAUUAUUAAAAGUUAUAAGUAAACUAUAACAGGUGAGACUCGAAACCAAGUCCCUUGAAAAAUAACGAAAAAAACUUUAAUUAUUACACCAAACAAGUUUUGUUGUCAUGUUAUCAUUAUUAUUAAUAUUAUAAUAUUAAUAAUAUAUAUACUUAUUAGUUAUGAUUAUUAUUAUUUAUGAAUAUUAGUUAUGAUUUUAUAAUUAUGCAUAUGAUAAUAAUAUUUUUAAUAUUAUAUAUAUAAUUAUUAUGAUAAUAGUUGGUAGGUAAUAGAGAUCCGUGAGUAAUAGUUGGUAGGUAAUAAAUAUUCGUGGGUAAAGUUCGUAGGUAAUAAGAUCUGUGGGUAAUAAUAGUUGGUAGGUAAUGCUAAAUUUACUUACGGAUUCAGAUUUGUAGAUAAUGUUGAAUUUACAUACGAAUUAAAAUCUGUAGAUAAUAUGAUUUUUUUUGUAAUGACACCAAUUGUUAUUUAUUCAAGCUUUAUUAGUGUAGGUUUAAAGAGUUAUUUACAACCGGAUGAAAAGACUUAUUUUGAAUGUGGCGAGGAAUUGGAUUCAAGGAGGGAUCAUAACAAGACAAUCAACAUGUUGGGAGAAAGUUUCAAUUAAAAUGCAAGAAGAAUUACCAAUUUGUCAUGGAUGUAGCCUCGGACAAACAAUAUUUAAUGGUACGGUAUUUUAUAAAUGAAUAAUAUUUAAUGUUCUAUUAAUUUAUUAAUUUAUGUUGAUAAAGUCAAUAAUAUACAUUACCAUAUACUUGAAUAUUUUAAUUAUAUUCAAGUGUUAUUAAUAAACAUAUUAUGAAUUGAAUAGGAAAAAUAUUUCAAUUCAGUAACCAAUUGGAGUGCAUUUAUGCAUACUUUUCGAUUCAUGUUUAGCCUAUAGUGAAUAUGUGAAUUUGAGAGGCUAGUUCAUAGAUUCAACUUUUGUAGAUGUAUGACUAAUUUCUUAACCUAAAAGUUGUUAAUUAUCUAAAUCUUAUUCCACUUUAUGUAUACUUGUAACUAACAAUUUUAUGAGAUUUUUUAUUAACAAUAAAAAAUAUUUAAAUUAAAUAAAUUAUUUAGUGAUGCAAUCCAUAUACAAAACUUCACUUAUAAAAUUGUCUUUGUAAAAUACCUAUUCAAACAAAAUGCAUAUGGCUCUCACAUAAGAACCCAAAAUAAAACUUAGGACAACCCACAACCAUUAUUGGAGCCUUGCCUAUAUGCUACAUAUUCAACAUACCACAGUGGUAAGCAACAGUAGAAAAAAUAAGACUAUAAGGUCUUAGUCCUAAGCAUAAAUGUGGCUCUGUAUAUAGAUUUUACAUAAGAUUUCAAAUAGAUUUACAAGUUUUAAUUUAUUAAAAUAUAUAAAUCAUUUGAAUCAAAUUAAAGUUGACUAAAUCUAUAAUAAUAAUUUACGUCGAUCUAAAUUUUGAAAACUAAAUUCAUGUUUACAAAAUACUUAAUAUUAGAAAAAUAUAAAUCAUGAUGCCUUAAAAGCAUUUUUUUUUGUAUUUAAUCAAUUGUCUAAACCAAUAUUAAUCAAAUAAAUUAUCAACUAUUAAUGAAAUAUUUAGAACAGAUAAAUAAUAAUUUUGUAAACAUAUUUAAUUAAAUCAAAUCAAUAUAACAUGUUUAAAAUAUAAAUUGUUUGAAUGUACAUGACAAUGUUUGUAAUUAUUAUAUAUAUUUUUUACAAAUACACAGAAAUGUGACGACUCAUAUUGAUUUUUUUAAAACUAAAAAUUAAUAACAAAUAUAUUAAGAAUUACAAUAUAAAAAAUUUAAGUUAAAUCCAUUUACUACAAGACGAUAUUGUUAUGGCACUAAAGGAUAUAAAGGACUUUGCAUGGAUACCUAGAUGGAAACCACCAAUUGGGAAAAUGAAAAUAAACGUAGAUGGAAGCUAUGAUUUAUCACUCAGUACAUAUUGUCACAGGGAAGUCUAGAUAUAGGGAUCAAAAUUCUAUGUAGGUCUUUGGCUUUUCUUCUUGUAAUACAUCCAAAGCGGAAAUUUUGGUCAUUUUGCAUGUAAUUCAUAUGUAACAACUAUUUUAGAAUAUAAUAACAUGUCCUUGUAUUACAUAGUUCACUACAAAAUACAAAAUAAAUAAUAUAAACAAGUAAAAUAUCAUGGACAACCAAAUGUUUAGAAUAAGAAGAUGGAUACAAAUAAGCAAUGUUAUGUAUUGGAGAGUAGUAUAUACUUUACCAGUAAAUAAUUUCAACAUUGAAUAUAUCUAGCUAGAGUUGAUUGUUUGAUCCUGUGUCACUGUUUCAUCUGGAAAUAGAAUAGGUUUUGGAGGUAUUUCCAAGUCUUCAAUAUCUCCUUCAAGCAUUUCCACUACUCUAUUCAUUGAGGGUCGAUCAUUUGGUUUUAGUUGUAUACACCAUAGUGCAACUAUGAUCAUCUUCUUUGCUAUUUUAUUUUCUUCUUCUGUCACAUCUUCAAUAUCUGCAUCUUUCUCUUCCCUAAUAUGAUCAUAGAUCCAAAGGGGAAAGUAAAGUUGACUUGAGUGAUCUGCAUGAGGAUUUAGAUUCUUUCUCUUACUUGUCAUCUCCAUCAACAACAUUCCGAAGCUAUAAACAUCAGCCUUAUGGGAUAUUCCUCCAAUAUUUUUAUAAAACAAUUCAGGAGCCAUAUAUCCAAUGGUUCCUCUUGCUACAGUCAUUGUGACAAUGCUAUUAUCUAUUGGAUAUAACUUUGCCAAUCCAAAGUCAGAAACCUUAGGGAUGAAGUUUUCAUCUAGUAAGAUGUUAUGAGGUUUAAUGUCAAAAUGCAAAAUCUGCAUCUCACACCCAUGGUGGAGAUAAGCAAUCCCACGAGCCACUCCGAUUGAUAUAUUAUAUAUCUUUUCAUAGCUUAAAUGUAUAUUUCUCUCUUUUGAGAAAAUAAAUUUAUCAAGAGAUCCAUUGGGCAUGAAUUCAUAAACAAGAGCACGUUUUGAGCCACUAACACAAAAUCCAAUUAAUUGUACCACAUUUUGAUGAUGUAUUCUUCCAAUGGUUGCAACUUCACUGAUAAAAUCUUGUCCAUUUCCUUUGGAUUCGUUCAAUAUUUUGAUGGCCACAGAAGGUCCACUGCGCAACUUUGCCUUAAAAACAGAGCCAAAUCCUCCUUCACCUAACUUCUCUUUGAAACCUGCAACCAUCUUCUUGAUUUCCUUGAAUGAAUAUCUAAUAGGUGCAAAGCUAUUUUGUUCAAGGUAAUUUUCAAUAUUUUCAUACAUUGACAUAUGUCUUUUUCUCCAUUUACAUAUAAAAAUAACAAUUAAGAAUGGCAAUCCAAACAAAACUUUGUAAGCCCAUACCAUAAGAAUAAUUUGUUGGAGAUAUCCUGCAAGAAAUUUUUACUUGGGUGAUUACACAUGGUAUUGUAAAAUGAAAUAAAUUAUUUGUUAAAGUAUUUUUUGUUCACAAAAUCCAAACUUUACACAUCUAUAGUAACAUUACACAAAAGAGUAAAUUUAAUGUCUAUCACAAACAACUAUCAAUAAAUUUCAUUUUCGACAUUGGUAUCUAUAAAAUUGUAUGUAACAUUAAUAUUUCCUAAGACCUAAUUCAUAUGGUUGUAAAAUAAUACAAAUAUUUUUUUAAAAAAAAUUUCUUUAGUUUCUAUAAACUUUUUAAAUUCAAUUUGUGUUCCUCUAACAUAUUUAACAUAUUAAAAAUUAUAAUUAUUUAUCUUUAAGGUAAUUAACAUUUAAUAUCGAUCAUAAACCUUUAUUUAUAUCACUUUGAGGAUUAAAAUUUUAAAUUUUUAAAUUAGAUGAAGAAAAUAUGAGAAACUUUUGGACAAAUUAAAAUUGAAUUUUUAAAAUGUGGAGAAUGUAACUAAAACAUAGGUAAAUUAAGAUGAUAAAAUAUCAAUUAGAAUCAUGUUCAUCUCACUAACCAGACAAAAAAGACUUUGCAUUUGAACCUUUUAUAAAGGUUGUGUUCGAUUAGUAUAAAUCACAAUGUAAUAUACUUACAUAUUAUAAUGUGGUCUUAAGUUGAUGUUUGUAAUACACAUCCCUCGUGCCGAGGACACCGUGUGUUCAUAUCAAAGACAUUGAGCAUGAGAAUCGAGGGAAGCGUAAUAACGGAUAACACGAUAGGCUCAAAUCUCGACUAGAAUAAACUCUUAGUGACUUUGAUGUCAUAUAAGGAUAAUGAGUUUAAGUUUAACUCCACCUCACAAAGUUGGUUUAAUAAGGUGAGGUUUACCACCACUUAUAUACGAUAAUUUGGUCUUAUCUUUAUUCGAUGUGAGAUCUUCAACAAUGUGGUUAAAAUUUAUUAUCAAAUGUCCAAAACAAUGCUUAAAACAUAAUCAUCGUUGAAAAUAGCAAAUGAUGAUGGUUACAACGUAUAAUUAUCAUCACGUGUCUUUUAAUAUAUAGAAAUCAUGCCAACACAAAUAGUGUCAUUUUGUAACUUUUAAUGUUUUCUUCUUCUCCAUUGUAUUGCUCCCACCAUCGCCACUCCUUUGCAUUUGACCUAGUAAGAAAAUUUUAUUUUUAUGUCUUUUACAAUUAGAUAUUUGCUUUCGCUAAGUUUUUCUCAUGUACGAAUGAUGGAGAAAGAGGAUGUCUAGAGCUAGGGAACAAAAAGGAAAGCAAGACCUCUUCUUCACACAUUUUUUUUAAACUCUAACGAGUAUGAUAUGUGGAAAAUCUUCCAAAGUUGGGGAAGAGUUACUGGAAUGUUCAUAACUAGGAAACUAAAUGGGAGAGGACAAAGAUAUUACUUGGUGAGAUUUGUAGAGGUUGUCAAUGAAGUAGAAAUAUAAAAAAAGUAGACGCAAUUUGGAUAACAAGCAUGAAAAAUCACGUUGGUUGACCAAAAUACAAUAGGUUUGAAAAAAACAACAACCAGAACAAGAAUGAAGGGAUAAACAUAGAGCAAAGAAUCGAAAGAACAAAAAAAUGGGUGAAAAGGAAAAAUACUUUACUUAUGCACAAGCGGUAAAACGUGACACUAAGAAGGAAGGUAGAAAAGAUGCAAUGGAAGGAAUAUCGUUACAAGUGUAAUAGAAGGAGAAAAUGUGGAUAAAGAGAAGUUUUGAAGUUAGACUACAUGAUGCAAGUAAGAUGAAUAUGUUAAAUGAAAACUUUAUCCUAGGUGAGCUAGGAUUCAUCAUAAUAAGAUAUUUAAGGGAUAAUCAAGUGAAUCUCUCACCUGAUAAUGAAAUGAAUAUAUAUAAACAAUUGAGGAACACAAUGAAUGAUUUUCAAGCACGUUUGAGUCUUCUUGGUCAUCUCAAGAAACAUCGAGAAAUAAGAUCAUAUAGGUGCGGUGUAGAGGCAUACCAUUAUCCUUAUGGGGCAUCAAAUGCUUCAAAAGGAUUGUGGUUAUCAUUGGAAUGCUCAUCACAAUAAAAGAAUGUUGUUGAGUCUUGAGAAGUGUUAAAGUAUGUGAGAUUGUAGGUAUGUUUAGCAAUUAGGAGUUUCACUAUGAUGUAUUGGAAAAUCAAAGUCAACGGUUCAAUUAUCAAGUGUCGUGGGAAGAUGAUCUCACUACAACAACAACCAAGAAGGAACACAAAUUAAAAUAUUGGGGGAACAAACCAUCGUUAGCAACAAUAGAUGGGAUUAAAACAGAUUCAUUUGAGUCAAAAUGUUGGGAAAUUAAUUAUCUUGAUAUAGGAUAUACACAGGGUAAUGGGGAACAAACCACAAUGGAUGUAUCAAACAUUAAAAGGCCGACCACCAAAGAGAGCGACGCGAAGAUGAAAGGGCCGUUGGUGGGUAAUUACCAAGGGGAGAUCAAAUUUUAUAUCGUCCUUACUUUCCUUUUUUUGUGUUGCAUGUGACAUUUUGACUUCCCUGACUUCUACAUACCAUUUCUCUCAUUAUGAUUAAUAUUAUCAAGUACUUCCUCCUAUGAGUUCACCAUUUUUUCCUUCAUGGAUUUAUUCUCCUGCUUUAUUUCGAAACUUACUUGCCCAAUAAGGUUCUCAAGAAAUAAUUUUUGUUAGAUUUCCUUUCCCAAAUGCCACACUUGUACAUUGAAACCCCUAAUGAUGAAAUUUCUUCUUCCACUUAUACUUGAUAAACAAUAUCAUUGAUUUUCGUCUAUUUAUUAAUUUUUUCCUCAGCGUGGGUUUAUCUAUAGUUAUCAAGGUGUCAAUGGUUGUCAUUACCUUUUUUUAAAUAUUCUUGUCUCUACAAAGAUAAUAGUAUGUGUUGAACAUGGACUUUGAUGUCUCCAAAUCCAUGAAGAUUGGUUGAAGGCUUUGCUGCUGCUUGUGUGUGUGGGUUUUGGGUAGUUUGAAUUUGUAAUCCACUCAUAGAAUUGAUCAAAAGUUGUUUGAUUUUAAUGCAUUUGAAAAAGAUGUGUUUUCAAAGAGAAGUGGAAAAAUAACUAGUUGUUUUAUCGUUUUAAUCGGUUGUUUUACACUUAGAGUUUUUUGAAAGGAUUUGAAACUGUUUGACUUUACUGUCAAACCAAUUCAACCGGUUGUUUCGAAAAUUCAACCGAUUGAUCUUUGAAAAUCCUUAACAAAAUUAUGUUAAGUUGAUUUAAUCUGAUUUAAAUGAUUUUAACUGAUUUUGGAUCUUUCAUUAAUUGCUUUUAACAACUAUUUGGAGUAUAAAUAAGUGGUUAUACACUCCUGGUUGUUAAGAUUUCAAAUUAACAGUUUCAAAUCAGUUUUCCAAGAUUGCUUCAAGCUUUGGAUACUUUCUAAGAGUGGAAUAGGAUUGUUCUGUAAUUAAGAUUGUUUUGAUCUUUGAUCAUUAUCAGGUGUAUUCCAUUCUCUUUCAUUUGACUUGUAUUUCUGUAAAGUACUGUGUUGCAUAGAGUUAGAGGGUGUUCUGAUCUGUGGUGUGUUGUAAUUGUCAAAGGAAGUGUGUGUUCUUGAGGGGUUCAAGAUCACUUCUUUGGUGUGUGUGGUUUGUAAUAUGUGGUUGAUUACAUAUGGAAUACUCAGUGGUUUCUGGGGACUGGAUGUAGCUCUUAGCUUUUAGUUUUAAGUAUUUUUAUAAAUUGCUAAUAAAACCAACUGGUUGAAUCGCAUAAACAACCGGUUGAUUUUCUGGAAAUCAACUAAAACAGUUUUGUAACUUGUGCAUUUUCCUUCAUUUGACUUUGAUUCUUCAUUGGCUUUGUCCAUACCUUCAAAGUCUGCGGAAAAACAUUUAAAAACAUUUCACCCCCUCCAGUUUUAGGCCUAAAAUUCUCACAGUAGCCCUUAGGCCUAACCAAAACAACCUUGUUUUCUAAGAUAACUUGGUUUAAUUAUGGAAUCACUAAUUCAAAUGACAUUUAUAGUCAUUUGCUAUCUUCCUCUAUCGCCUUACUUACUUUGCUAUCCCAUAAAUUAUGCACUCUGAUGAAUUUCAAGCCAUCUAGAAAGAAAUUUUCUUUUAGCAUAUCCACCUUAUUGUUGUCAAGCAACCUUAUGAUAAAAGCUUUUCUUCAACCAUUAUUGCUCUUACUCAUUCACCAAAAAUUGUUUCGCUUCCAUCUACCUGUAUUAGUGUUCAUAUUGUUUUACAAUCUCACUUAUGCUCGUGACUAAUACUGAACUUUCCCCUUUACAUCAAAGUCCCCAUUAUUUUGCUUUUUGAAUUAGUUCCUUCGAGCUUACUUCACUUGAACACCAUUUCUUUGUUCCUUCAAUAUUUUGCUACCAAAUUUAGAAACUAAAUAAUUGGUAGUUAAAACAUUGAUAGCUAAUUAGAUACCAAAUUAGAAACCAUUUAACAAUAAUAGAAACUAAUUUAGAAACCAUUUUUUUUAGUUUUUAAAAUGGUCUCUAAUUUAGUUACUAUAGCAACUAAUUAUUUUUUAUUUCUAAAAUUAGUUUCUAUUUCAUGUUUUUCUUGUAGUGCAAGUGUCUUGAUAAUUUGAUUAUUUUUUUAUCUUAGAGUGUGUUUAAUAAUUUAUAUCACUAUAAGAAAAUCAUUAAAUAAAAAUUAAUUUUAGAAACUAAAAAUAAUUAGUUGUUAUAGUGACUAAAUUAGAGAUCAUUUUAUAAACUAAAAAAAAAUUGGUUUCUAAAUUAGUUUAUAUUAUUGUAAAAUGGUUUCUAAAUUGGUAUCUAACUAGCAAUUAAGAUUUUUGCUACCAAAUUUAGAAUCUAAAUAAUUGAUAGUUAAAACCUUGGUAGCUAAUUAGAUACUAAUUUAGAAACUAUUUAAUAAUAAUAGAAACUAAUUUAGAAACCAAAAAAGUUUGUAGUCUCUAAAAUGAUUUCUAAUUUAGUCAUUAUAACAACUAAUUAUUUUUUGUCUUUAAAAAUGGUUUCUAUUUCAUGAUUUUUUUAUAAUGUAUAUUCAUUAACAAUAUUUUGGACUUUAAUUAUGCAAUUAGAUAAAUUAUAUAUUGAUUCAAAAUGAUGUCAAACUAUUUCUUAUAAUUAUGUUUGUGAUGUAAUAUGAAGUAAGAUAAUUUGUAAAUAAUUGUGUUUAUGAAGGAUUUGUUUGGAAUUAGAUUGAAUGCAGGUUAAAGUUAUUAUCAAAACUGGGGAUGACAACGAGGAAAGGUGAGUGCAAGUUUGACUAUACACAUCCACAUUAACGAAGUAAAAAGUUAUUCUCAUCCUUGUCUUAUCCCAUUAGGUAUAAUUUUUUUUGUCUCAUUCUCAUCCUCAUUAGGUAAUGGGUGUAUCCAUAUUCACGCUCAUACUCGUUCUCACACUCUCCCGAAUAUUAAAUAAACAAUGUUCUUACAAAAAAAGAAAAAAAUCACAAUAAAGAAAAUAUGUUAUCAAAUAACAAUUACACGUAAUAAAAAUUUCAUAACAAUUUCAAUAUAUUGUUUUGAAAAUAUUGAGGAGAAAAUACCUUAGAGAUUUGAGUGAACUUGGUAAAUAUUAAGCAUGAUGAAUUGUUGAAAGAGAGAAUGAAAUUUUGUGUAACAAAAAAAAUAGUUCUUGAAAUGAAACAAAAUUAAGAAACAAGAAAAAAAAAAAAAUUUUAGGUUACCUAAUAAACUAAGAGUUUACAAAAUUUAAUUCGAUAAAAUUGAGGUUUACGUUUCCUAAAAUGUAAUUUAUCAUUUGAAGAAACUCACAUAAAGAAAAAAAAAUGUAUAAUUGAGAAUAUAAUUAAAGAGAAAAUACCUUGAGGAUUUGAGUGAACUUGAUAGAUAUUAAAUAGUUAAACGAUUGGGAGAGUAUGUAAAAUAAGAGUUUUUCAAAUGGAAUGAAACAAAAAGCACGGAUGAGAAUAACAAAAAUAAGUUUUCUAAAUUAUCUAAUAAAUUAAAAAUAUUUUAAUAAUUUAAAAUAAAGAUAAAUAUAAGAACAAGUACGAUGCAAAUAUAGACAUACUCAUUCUCGUCUCCAUACCCAAUUUAAAAUAUUAAGUAUUACUCAUCAUGCUCAAAGUUUAUUUAUAACCCAUUUUUAAAACAAAACAAAUAUUAUAAAAGUUAUACAUACAACAAAUUUUUUUACUAUAAUGAUCAUAUAUUACUUUCACCAAUUAUUCAUAUCAUAACCAAUCAUUGAAAGGGUUGAAAAUUUUGAAAAUAAAAUAAAAUUAAAAAAUAGAAGGUUUAAUUAUAAAUUAUUGUCGAAAGUGGUUGGACAACAAAGAUAAGGAUAAUGAAUUAGACCAAGAUAGUAGGAAGAUGAUGAAUGAGCUAUUUUGCAUAAUUACAUAAGUUAUUUUAUAAACAAGAAACCCUGGAGACUGAAUUGGUUAGAGAAAGGGGAUUUGAAUACAAAAUUCUUUACAAAAUAUGUUUAAAGGAUUGGUAAUUGGCACUUAAUGAUGUGAACAACCUGUUAUGAUUAAAAAGAAAUGAAGGAUGGAUUUAAGUUGCGAUUUUCUUAGCAUUAGGUUGGAUAACAUUGAUUUCCCUACCAUUAAUUCAGAGAAUAAUCUAUUUUUGACUGCUAUAAUCACAGGAAAUGAAAUAAAGGAAGUUGUUUGGGGAUGUGAUGGAAAAAAAUGCCUUAAGACGGAUGGCUAUAAUUUCAAUUUUCUUAAAAGAAAUUGGAGGGUUGUUAGUUAGGAUAUAUUCAACGCUAUUAAUAGAUUCUAUACCUUAGGAAAAUGACCUAAAGUACAAAUGUUUUUUAUCUGCCUAAUUCCUAAGAUUGACAACUCUCCAAAGUUGCAAGAUUAUAGAGCUAUCUCACUUAUAGGUUGUAUUUAUAAGAUAGUUUCUAAAAUUUUAGCAAAGAGGCCAUAAAAAGUUCUGUGUAAAGUGAUUGAUAUUAAACAAUCUUUUUUUUUUAAGGCAAUAAUGUCUUUUAGAUAGUAUGUAAUAGCCAAUGAAAUCAUACAUGAAGUAAAAAAAAAAGAAAAAAAAAGAUUCUUUCAUAGUUAAAGUGAACUUUGAGAAAACGUACAACUUAGUUGGAAUUUCCUAUUUUAUAUGAUGAAAAAGUUAGGCUUUAGCUACAAAUGGAUUAGGACUUGUUUAGAAUAAUCUACCGUCUCAAUGCUAGUAAAUGAUAGUCCUACGAUGAAUUUAAACUCGAAAAGGAGUUGAGACAAGGUGAUCCUUUAACCCAAUUUUUAUUCCUCACAAGUAGGAGGAGGAUUACCAGGAACUAUAAAACAAAUAGAGUGUAAGGGUAUGUUUGAUGAUAUCAAGAUAGACAAGGAUGAUAUUAACAUUAGUAUAAUAUAAUUUCCAAAUGACUACUUGUUUAUUUGCCAGGCCUUAACUAAGAAUAUUUUGGUAAUUAAAAGUAUUCUCAUAUGCUUUUGAAAUAGUCUCAUGUAUAAAAUUAAGUUAGGAGGCUUGAGAGUAAAAAUAUCUACCAUUCAUAGAUACUUUGAGUUGCUUAACUAUUGUAUUAUGGGAAUCCAUUUAAAUAUUUAUGCAUUCCCAUGUGGGGAAAUCAUAGAAAGAAGAAUUUUGGUUAGAUAUGAUAGCAAAAAUAAGAAAGAGGUUAACUAAAUGGAAAGGAAAACAUAUUUCCUUUUGCAAGUAGAAUUACCUUAAUAAUCAAGUUAGUGUUAUCAAUUGUGCCUUUAUAUUAUUUAUCUCUGUUUAAAAUGUCAAUACUUGUAUGAAAGCUGAUUGUUAAGGUUCAAAGAGAGUUUUGUGGGAUUGGGAUCAAGAAGGAAGAAGGAUUGCGUGGGUAAAUUGGGAAGAUAUUUGCAAAUCUAAAUUAGUAGGUGGUUUGGAGAUAAAAGAUUUAAGAUGUUUUAACCAGCGUCUGCUAGGUAAAUGAAAUGAGAUUAGGAAAUGAUAAGGAUGACUUAUGGGUGAAAAUUCUAAAAUAAAAAAUACCUUUCAUGGAGAUCUUUAAUUGAAAAUAAAAAGAAUAAAUGUGAGUACUUGUGGUGGAGAGAUAUUAGAAAAUUAAGUGGGUUUGAAAGGGGAAAAAAUGGUUUAGGGAGCAUAUUUUGUGGAAGGUUGGGUAGGGUAAUAUGAUCUUAUUUUUGAAUGAUACUUGGAUAGGGGAUAAGCCUUUAAGGGAGAAAUAUCCAAGAAUAUAUAGUAUUUUAAAACAAGAAAGAAAACUUAAAAUAAAGGAGUUUGGAUAACAUACCAUUGGACUUGGAAACUUAUAGGUAGAGGAGGGAUUGGUUUGAGUGAGAAAAACUAAUGGUCGACAAAUUGGUACAUAUUAUUCAGGAGAUUACAAUACAUAAAAAGAUCAACUAGAUGAGUGGGAGUGGAAGGGAGAUAGAACUUGUUGGAAUUCUAUGCAAUCUGCCUAUACAUAGUUUUCCCUUAUAAGAGAAUGAUGUAAAUUUUAAUUAUUUGUGGAAAGUUAAGGCAUUACUCAAACCUUAUUUUUUGUUUAAAGGGUAUUCUUGAAUAAAAUUUCUACAAUAGAUAACUUGCUCAAAAGAGGUAUCCAACUAGAAAGAACUUUGUGUGUUAUCUGUAAUCGUUUAGAAGAAACCAAAAUCCUGUUUACAUGUAGAAUUACAAAUCAAAUUUGGAACAUGUGUGAUGUGUGGUUAGGGAGAAUUAUGAUACAUCAUUGUAAUGCUAAACAACACUUAUAGAAAGGGUAAAUAGGAAGGGUAAUACAUCAUGUGGGUUUAAAUAGGAAGGGUAACCAAAUUUGGAAAGUUGUGUGGGUAGAUGCAAUGUGUAAUUGUGGAUACAUAGAAAUAAUGUUAUAUUUAAAAAUCUUAAACCAAAUGACGUAAAAAUCUAUUCUAUGGUAUAUGUUAAAUCGUGGGCAUGGAUAACGAAGAAGUACACUAAGAUCAUAAAAUCUUAACGUUAAACACCUGUGUUUUUUAUUAGGCUACAUAGCCUAGAUCCUUCAAUGUAGUUCUAUGUAGGAAAAGUGUAACUUUUGUGCAUCCUUGGUUAUGUGUGUAUCUGGGCUCUAGGCAACAAAAGCUUAAAUCAGUGCUCUAUGGAUUACAAACAUAAUGGAACCUAGAACAUAAUCCUGGACAAUUGUUGAGCAAAUUAUUAUACUCUGUAAUAAAUUAUGUAGCCUUUAGUUCAAAUUUGCAUGUCCAUUAUUUCAACUCAUAGAUUGAAACAAGGAAUAACGAGUAGUGCGAAUUUUACAUCUGUUUUUGUGUGCAGAGGGGCUACAAACUGGUUUAGAUCACUGUCUGGUGUAAGGGUGCUUCAUAUGUGUAUUAAUUGUAGCUAGGAUUACAACUACUUUCUGUUGAGGUGUUGAAAGGUCUACCAGCCUAGUAAUUAUUUUUUGACAUAAGGGUUUGGACUCUGUAAAGUCUCCUCAUUUUAUAUAUUUUUUAUUAUUGAUAAAAAAAGUGGUUGAAAUUUUUUAAAAACAAAAUAAAAUUAAGAAAAAAAUACACUGACUGUACGUGGGCAAAUCUUUUUUUUUAACAACAUUUAUAUUAAUGAAAAUUUCAGAAGUCCUAUUAAAAUUCUAUUUUAAUAAUUGUUAAAAGCUAUACUCCAGUUGUGUAAUUAAAGCAUUGAGAAAUUAAGAUGAUAAAAUCUUACCUGGUUCUAUUAUUGUCUCUAGCAAUUCCAGUAUUGUAUGAAAACCCUCUGAAAUGAAGUAAAAUGUGACUUUAUAAUAGUCUCAACAGUUAUUCAAAAAAGAAUAUUUUCAGAUUUUGAUAAAGGUUAUAGCGGUCAAUAAGUUUAACAGUUAUUUAUUUUAAAAAUAAUAAAUAUUUAAUUUAAUGCUUAUGUUCUUAUAAAUACAUGUAAAACAUAAAAAAUAAAAAAAAUACCAUUUUUUGUUCUAAAAGUUCGUUGAAUUAUUAGAAUGAUAUUUUGAAGAUAAUAAUAUAUGUAAAAUGAAACAUAAAAUAUAGAUGACUGAAAGUUUGUUUUGAAAAAUUCUGAAAAAGUGGUUAACAGAUUAUCAUUUGAAAAUAUAUAAUUAUGUAAAAUAUGUCUUAAUAUUUGGUUUAGGAUCACUCACCGCAUUUAAGCUUCUGGUUAGAAGAGGCGAAAUAGCAGAAUCGAUGUGGACAAAGGUUCUGACAGGCGAGUUCUAUCCAUGAAAUCUCGAAUCCAUAGUUGAGUGCGGUGUGCAUGGAAGAGUAGGAAUGGUUAUCGAAAGUGGAGAGAGAAGUGGGAGCAACAAGCUUUACCUCACACCCAACUUCUAAGUCCUCUGCUUUUAGGUCUCCACCAAUUGCAUAUGCAUACCCCUUCCCCUCCCACUUCACCCACUCUCCACUCUCCACAUACUUCCCUUUCUCUCCCACCGAAUGGUUACAAUUCACAAACACUAUAUGCGAGAAACUCAAUUCCCAAUUUUCAUAGGAUCUUAGACCGGCUUGGUAUGGAUCCGAGUCGUAAAAGGAAGUGUAAGUGUAAGUGUCAGAGAAAUUGGAACGAGAGAGGAAACGGAGAGGAAGGGAGGAGAGAUUAUGGUGUUGAAGAGCAGGAUCAACCACUCUCACUGUGUAGUUAUUGUAGUUUAUUGACUGCACAUGAUAUUUUGCAGAGUACAGAUACAACACCGUAACGUUAUUCUCACAACCAAGUUCAUACCUUUCCUCACCACACUUUUCUGGGUCGCCUUUUAAUCGAAAUGGAUAACUAAUGUUGCUGAUUUUUCCACAGGAAGAAAGGGGACAAAAGAGUUGUUGCUCGUCCUUGGUAGCAGAAAUAUGGUGGAGUAGAAGUAGCAGUACCACCAACACUGCUCUCUCUCUCCACAUCAUGUCCAAACUGUUUCUCAUUGAAUUCAAGUGCAAAGAAAUCGAAGUUAGAUAUUUAUAUUUAAAACAUCACACACUGAAUAUAUAGCUAUAAAGGACCACAUUUUUCCUUUUACAAAAUUGUUCGAAGACGUAUAUAUGAUACUUAAAACGUAGACUUUGACUCAGAAACCGCGUUUCUAUCUUGUUUCCGCAACUCAUUUUAAUCCAUACAAAAUUUUAAAUAUUCGUGAAGUGCAUGAAUUUUGAUUUCGGUACUUAAUCAUGUAAUUUUGUUGAUGGUGUUCUUUGAGUUUCUAAAACCAUCCUAAAUUGUUCGUUUUAAAAGCUUAUAUUUUGAAAAUUAAUUUUAAUGACCUUAGAAUUUCUGUGAGUCCCAAAAUAAUGUUUGUUUGGUUAAGAAACUUCAACAUGUGAUUAUUGUUUUGGUGAAUUUUUCCUCGAAAAUGGCCUCAUAUGUUUCUUUGUGUUAAUUUCUUGAACAUAUUCUUCUUGGACAUGGGAGCAAGAAAGAGUGUGUGGUGGCAGAACGUAGCACUAACAAUUUUAUGUAUGUGUAAAAGGUAACGGACAGAGAAAAACAUAUGGAAGCAAUUCCAAACACGUAACCCAAAAUUCCAGCAUACUUUUCAACUUGUGGCCUUGAAAAACUCAAUAAUUAAAAGUGCGUUUCGAAGAAUUUGACGUAGAUCUCCAAAAUUAUAAUGUGCCCAAAAAUGUGUAUGGUAAGACCUUGUGGACUUUGACCUUGAUAAAGUUUAUAAAAGUGAACAACUCAGAUAACUCUUUAUAGAAUUAAACUCUUGAGUUACAUAGGAUGAGCCGUGAGAUCCUCACUCGGCUAAUUAGUAAUUGAAAGAAUAAAAAAUCAUUAAGCAAUUUUUUUUGGUAGAAAAGCUAGCAGGAAAUUUCUAAACCAUGUUUUCUGCAUGCAGGUAUCAAAACCCUCAAGUGCAUGUAGUUUAUUCCAUGAAACAUUAAAUUUUAGUCUUAUGCUUGUUUCACACUAUUAUGUCCACAGCAACAAAUUAACCAAAACCCUAUUUAUAGCCAUUCAUGUUCUUUGUACGCCAAUUGCCACAACAAGAAGUUACUCACCACUAACUAGUUGGUAUUAGUAGAUUACAUUCUGAAAACUCACCACAAUUACUUGAUCACUAUCACUAAAAUAAAAAUAAAAAUAUGAAUGUGGUGACGAUUAUUUUUAUAUAAAGUGAUAUUUAUAAAUGUCACAAUAUAUAUACGUGUAACAUUUUCGCUUACGGUUAUAGAUUUAACCGCCACAAAGUUUAAUAUUCGCUUACGGUUAUAGAUUUAACCGCCACAAAGUUUAAUAUGACGAUUUUAUACAAAUCGUUUUAACACUAACCAUUUAAUGUUUACACUAACCAUUUAAUGUUUUAUAUAAAGUGACGUUUUAUGUGUAUAAUUAAAAUUGUCGUAAUUUAUUUGAUCGAAAAACAAUUUCGGUGUAAAAACAACACAUAAACAUCGCUAUAUACUGUACAAUAUUUUGUUUUUAUCUAUCAUUAUUAUAAGAACAAUCUGAAAAGCAAUACGUAAGUUUCAAGAUAGUAAAUUGAAUACUAAAUAAAUAAAAUUCAGUCACCAGUUUAUAAUCUCAUUAUUUAAUAAAUUUGUUUUCAUAAUUAAACAAUUAAACAAAUUUAUAAUACCAUUUAAUUAAAUCUAUUUUCGUAAUAAAAAAAAUUAAAUACUACUCAAAGUUAUAAUAAACAUUCAUUGCAUUGAAAACAGAACACAAAGUUAAUAGUUGUUCAAAAGUACACCAAGAUAAAUACACAAAAUAUUUUUAAAUAUGAUAACAUUUUAUUAGACUAUUACAAUCAUCUCAGUUUUGCUUCCACCACUUGAUCCUAUUAUUUUGUUGAGUGAUAAAACACCAUUUCCAACCUAAGGUGCCAACAUCUAAUGCUUAAAAUAGAUAAAAAUUAAUUUCAGAUUAUUCAUUUUCAAUUUUUAUAAUUAUAAGAAGACAUUAAUAAUAAAUAUUUAAGUAUAUUAAGUUAUACCUCAUUCCAAUAAUAGACAUGAUUUUAGGUUAUUUGAAAAACUAGAGAGUUAUAAAAAUAAAGAAAUGUAUUUUUCUAUUCAAGAAUAACAACUAAAUAUACAAUCAUUGUAAUUUUGAAUUUCUUUAAAGUUUUUAUUAAAUAAAAUUACAAUUGCAAUUACAACUACAACUAAUUUAUUUUAUUGUUAUCCUUAAUGGGAUGUUUUUUCUUACUCUUGAAAGAAAUAAAAUAAUGUAUAUAUUUGUAGUAGGCAAAGCUGUAGUAGGCAAAUAUAGGUUUCAAUAUUUUUCCAUCUUCUAGCCUGAAACAAUCUCAAAUUAUAGAAAAGCUUAGCAUUUAGUUUGCUAAAUGUAGACAACACUAAUAAUUAGCAAGAUAUUGAUUCUAAUUAUCUAGUGGUCUGUUGGAGAGAGUUCAUAAAAUUUAGUUAAAGCGAGAUUGUAGAUAAUCUGCUGAAAAGAGUUAUUUAUGUAUUUUUCAUUAAUUUCUCAUAGAAAUUAAUAGUAAACGCUCUCUCAACUGAGAUUUCAGGUUAUAUAAUGAUGCUUAACAUAAAAGUUUUGUAGGGAUAUUGUGUGCGGAAGCGUGAUAAUUUCAACACAAAGAUUAUGAGAAAUUAAAGAAACAAGUAAAGUGAGAAUGAUAUCAAAAUUUUUAGGUGGAAAACCCCUUUAAAUAGAGGUAAAAAACCACCGGCGAGAGAGCCAAAACAAUGGUACUGGGAGUACAAUGAAUUCCUCUCAAGCUAAUGAUAAAUAGCCCCAAAACAAAAUUCUCUCUCUAUAUGGGUUAAACACUUACACCCAAUAGCAGAAAUAGAGAGUAUAAGAAAAGAGAGAGGAAGCAAGUGUGUUUGCUGUUUGCUGUGUGUUACAUUGCUUGAAGGAAACCACUAUAUACAGUGGUUCUAGGAGACAACAAUAAUAAAUACAAUUAAUGGUAAUUAACCUCCCAUUGAUGACAAUUGAUUGUGGCAAUUAACUUCCUAUUGAUUGCAAUUGAUUGUGGCAAUUAACCUCCCAUUGAUUGCAAUUGAUUGUGCUAAGUAACCUCCCAAUUAUGACAAGAAAACGGAAAGGUGAGUCAUAAACCCACAAGUUUUUAUAAAAAAAAGUAAAAAAUGAUAUUUGGUUCAUACAUAUACAUUUGAUCCAUUUAGAUAGUAACGUUCUAAUGAAAAAGUAAAUUUAAUAUACUUAAACAAAUAUCAAUAUAUUUGAUUGUUGGAGUUGCUAAAUAUAAUGUGUUUCUUUUUUCUAUGCCAGAAGAAAAUUUUGUCUUUAAUUAACGUUGGUAUACAUAUCUUAGACCAAAUUGACAAAUGGUUACGGAAAUUGAAAAAUAAUUUUUUAGUAAAAUAUGUUUUUCGUCAUUCUAAAUUUUUUUUAAACAGUUUUUCUUUCAUUUAUUUUGACUUAUUUUCAUACAUCUGUUUGGAAUUUGAGUUUUGGUUCUGGAGGUAACAUUAAUAGCGUUUAUUAAGCACUAUUCAAACUACUCUAAAUAUAAAAGUGGUAUAUUUUAAAAAUAAUGAAUAAAUAUUGGAAAAAUAUUUAGAGCGAUAAAAGUAUAAUUUUUGAGAAAUAUAAAUAAAAAGUAUUUUUUUUCUGUGUUUGUUUAUUGUAACGCAGGGAUCAGAAUAAACAAAUUAAGCCAAUUUUAUGUAUGUCCACUUCUUUUACCGCAAACUAAAGCAUAUAAAAAUUCUUGUCCAGAUGAUAUUAAAAUUAAAAAAAAAAAUCUGUGUAAAAUAAGUAGUUGUAAAGUGUGUGAACAUUUUAUAUAUAUAUAUAUAUAUAUUAUAAUCAAAGCAUACGUAAAUUAUAAGGUGAUAACAAUUGUAAAUAUAAUUUUAAGGAAUUAGUUUGAGAACCCAAUUAAAGAAGUAUUUCAUGACUUACUUAAAUAAAGACAAGACAUAAAUAUGGAAAAAUGAUGGAAAUAAAUUUUUAUAUCUUGAUUGAGAAACAAUAUUAUAUAAUGCAUUUGAUUUUUUUGUACUUUAAAUAUUUGCAAAUUAUUCUAGGACUAAAAGUUCCACCACAUGUAGAACUGUCGCGGAAAUAUCUUUCCAUUAAUAUCCGUGUUGAUAAGCUUUAUUGAGUCACAAUUUCUAAUGAGUUUCACAGGUUUGUCUUAUAUAAACACUUCAUAUGAAGUACAUAAUUGACUCAGUCAAAUGACAAUAUACGUAGAAAUAAUUCAUAUAUUGAAAUUAAUAAUUAUUGAUUUAUUUUUAGCAGUUGAACGUACGUAUACACUACCAUUUAAUGUAUUAAAAAAUUCACAUCCAUUAAAAAUUAAAACAUUAAAUGAAUACAAAAUAUAAUCCAAUCUCUCUAUCGAUGUUAAAUGAAUUUGAACAAGUGAUAUAGCUAAUUGGACAACAGAAUUCAUAUGUUCUUUUCAUCAGACAACAACAACCCAAGUUGUGAGGCUUCUUCCUCAUCAUCAACUUAUACUUUUUUUUUUCAACUUCCAAUUAUUAUGUGUUGUAAAACACAUAAAUUGUUUUAGGUGAAACUUAUGUGUCAACUUUCAAUCAUUAUUCAACUUUCUACCAAACAAUCUCUGAUAGAUUGCCCUCUGUACAAAGAGGAAAACAAUUUGAUGUAAAUAAUCGGAAAUUGAUCAAAGAUGAUUGUAUUCUUGAAAACCUAAAUUUAUAAGAAAAUUGACAUAUAAAAAGGAAAAUUCAGUGGAGAUUAAAAAUUAUGUUAUUAUUUUAAAGUGUCAAUAAAAUAUUGUUGUAUCGAUAAGUCUAUCAUCUUUGCUUAAGACUCAGGUUGUGUACUCAUAGGUUAAGCUUCAACCCCAUCAGAAAUAUUAUCUAAACUGAAGAGUUAUUAGGGUUAUUUGGUUUCAACGAGGGAUUUACGAGAAGAAAGAAAAUUUCACAAAUCAAAGAAUAAAAAAUUAAGAAAAUUUUUAGAAAAAAUAUUUCAACCUUAUUUUUUCACAAAUAUGCAAAAAAAGAAGCAUGACUAAAUCAAAGAAAAUAAAAGAUCUCAGGACUAAAUCAAACCAAUAAAAAAGCAUUUUCAAAACUUUUCUUACUUAAAAAAAAAGUUUUUAAAAAUUAUUUUAUUUUAUUUUAAAUUUAUCUUAUUUUAUUUUAUUUUAUAUUUUUUUUCUUUUCCAUUCACUUCCAACAAAACAAAAAAAAUAUGCAGAACACCAUUCCAAAAUUUGAUCACCAUAUAAUUUAUCCUGAACGAACAUUCAUAUACUAAAUUCAAAAACUGAAGUCGAAAUUAUAUUUUUCAAAAAUCGAAUUUCGAUGACUUAUCGAAUGACCUUCUUCCACCCUUGGUCAUUAUCGGAAAAAAUAUCUCAAAAAAAUCGACUCUCUGAAAACCAAUUUCAGAGAAGUUUUUAUUUGGAAUAAACCAAAAUCUCACCGUAAACAUAAAUCAGUGCGCUACUUGGAGAAAUAAAUCUCAAAGGUGCUAUUUAGGGAAUUAAUUCCCAAAAGUGUUCCACUUGGGAAAAAAAGUCCGCUCGAGUCACUGCACACCAAUUCUCAUGCUUAAGCUUUUCCACUAAAAUUGUUUGAGAAAUUGAACCACUAAAUCAAAUAGCCAAAUCACGUAUUCACCAAAUUUUCUACUAAUUCACUAAAUUGGUUAAUAACACAAGCAAAUACUGCAUUGGUUUUCAAUCAAUUUGAACAAUCAACACACCAUAUUUUUGCACCAAACCUGUACAGUAAAACAACAACACAAACAUAUUCUGUUUCCUGCUCCAAAAUUUGAAUCAUAAUAUGGAGUGAAUCAUCACACAAAAUAUUUUUUUACAAAAACAUUAUCUGCAGCUUAAACCAAUACAGAAAUUGAUACAACACAAAUUGCUACGAAGAUGAUCAAGAAAGCAAAAGACAAAGCACAUAGUGAAUAGUCAUCUUAGUAAACAAUUUAAAACUCCACAAAGGAUCACGUGUACCUCACUAGAGGAGCUGGACAUAAACCAACUCACCAACUAUUCUUCCUUUUGGUCUUCUUAUAAGAUAUAAAUAUGUUGUAAAUAAUUUGGACUCUCUUGAGGGGUUCAAAUAGUAGAAUAAGCAGGAAUAGGUGCCUAUAACAUAAUGAGGGUGUAGUUAUCAUUUUAGUUUGUUCCUAGCCCUUUAGGAAGAAAAUUUGACUAGUUUCUAGAUGAACAAGUCUAGGGUGCGAUUUUGACUUAGUCAAACCCUAAAGGAAUCCCUCACACAUUUACUACCCUACCCUUGCCCUUCUUGCCCACCAAGGCACCCAUUCCUAUAAAUAGGGUGUCUUACUCCAUGUAUUUUCAUGUUGAAAUUGAAUAGAAAAGUUACUCUACAUAAAUUACGUGAGGUUUUGUGAGGCUUGUGUCCUCUUAGCAAUUAGGUCUUAUCUUGAGUGAGUUGAGAGCUCUCAAGUGGCAGCCCUCUACACUUAUCUUGGAGGAAACCACAUUUCAAGUGGCGUGUCCCUUCUCUUCCACCACCAUAAGCAUUCUUUCCUUAAUAUCUUUUUCAAUUGUUUUCCAUUUCGCCAAUUUACUCUUUGGUUUAUGUUGUUGUCUUGUUUGAUUAUCCAUUCCACCUCCUUUAUUACAUUGUCUUCCUUUCAUGCUCUUUAAUUUCCGCCAUCAUUAUCAUUCACCAUAUACUUGUAUUUUUUCUUUGCCAUCUAGAAGUGAACCUUCACACUUUUCGUGUCCAGUGGGAAUCUUCUUUGGGUUCUCACCAUAUACUUGCUAAAAUAUCAAUCAUAAGUAAAGUGUCACCUCUAAAAUGGAACAAUCUAAAAUCAACUCACAUCACAAAUUGCUUCAAAAACUCUAGCACAAAUUCAACGCGAGUUUUUACAAAUCACUAAUUCAUGAACAAAAUAACUAAACUUCUCUAAUUUUCAAAAAUUUCACAAGAUUGAACAAUUCCUAUUAGAAUCGCACUCAAAUGGAACUCUAGUGUAGAAUUAACGUACCUCUUACUUAGUUGUCAACGUUGUAGGAUAUUUGACAAAGUUUAAGAUGAAUAAGUCAAGCUAGUUUUUAGGAGUUGAAUAAGUCUGUUGCAGAUUUUAUUUUUUUUAAUAGUGGUUCCUAUUUCUUAGUUGUUUGUUCCUUAGGUUUCGGUCUUUCGAUGGUUGUAAGGCUUCUAUAAAAGUCAUUCUCUUUUCAUUGUGGAAUAUACAAAAUAUUUCUAUUAUUUGAUAUCAGAGCUACACAUAGGAAGAGUGUUUGGGAGGAAAAACACAACACUGAAAAUGGCAGACACUACAAGUUUCAUCGCACCUGUCAUACCAAAAUUCGAUGGAGAUUACGACCACUGGAGUUUGCUCAUGGAGAAGCUUCUUCGAUCCAAGGAGUACUGGAGCAUCAUUAAACUAGGUUUUGACGAUCUGAGAAAAAAUGAAUCACCUACUCCGACUAAGAAAAAGGCGUUUGAAGAAGCUAUUCUCAAGGAUCUCAAAGCCAAAAACUACCUAUUUCAAUCAAUUGACAAAACCAUGUUGAAAAUUAUCACUAGGAAGGAGACAACCAAACAACUAUGGGAGUCCAUGAAAAUCAAGCAUCGAGGAAAUGCUAGAGUGGAACGCGCACAACUAUAAAGGCUAAGGAAAACUUUCGAAACCUUGGAGAUGAGGUUGGAGAACGAAUAAAGGGAUAUUUUUUCAAGAGUCAUGGAGAUCGUCAACGACAUGAGAAAUAGUGGAGAAGAAUUAGAUGAUGUCAAGAUUGUUGAAAUUUUUUUAAGAAGUCUCACAGACAACUUCAACUUUGUGGGUUGCUCCAUUGAAGAAUCAAAGGAUAUUGAUAGCCUUAUUGUUGACGAGUUACAAGCAUCACUACAAAUACAUGAGAGCAAGGUGGUUGAGAGAAGGAGUGAAGAGCACGUUCUGCAAGUGGAAAAUGUGUCAAGGAACGCUCAAAGAGGAAAAGGAGUUUACAGAGGACGAGGAAGAAGCAGCUAUAGAGGUAGAGGAAAAUCCUUUGUAAACAGAGCAACCAUUCAAUGUUUUCGAUGUGGAAAACAAGGUCAUUAUCAGUUCGAGUGCACUAGUGACGAAAAAAGAGUCAACUAUGCCGAGUUUGACGAAGAAGAAGAAUGUUUACCAAUGGCGCAUGUGGACGUGAGCAAUACUAAAGAAAGUGGCAUAUGGUUUUUGGACUCCAGAUGCUCAAACCAUAUGGCGGGGAAAAAUCUUGGUUUGUUUAUCUAGAUGAAGGUUUCAAGCAUUCUGUUCGGUUGGGAAACAACUCAAAGAUGGUGGUUCUAGGAAAAGGAAAAAUCAGAUUUGCAGUAAAGGGGAUAAUUCAAGUAUUGACUGAUGUUUAUUAUGUACCGAAUCUGAUCAACAACUUGUUGAGCAUUGGACAACUUCAAGAGAAGAAUCAGUCCAUUAUGAUCAAGAAUAAUGUGUGUAAGAUAUAUCAUUGUAAGAGAGGGAUAAUCAUGGAGACUCAAAUGACGAUGAAUCAGAUGUUUCUAGUUUACGCUAAGAAAAAACCAACAUCUGACAACUGUCUCAAGGUGGAAGAAGAAGACGUGGUUUCUCUUUGGCACAAGAGGUUUGGACAUUUAAAUAAUAAAUCCAUUAAGAUUAUGGCAAAGAAAGGAAUGGUGAAAGGGUUACCUAGCUUGAAGGAGGAUGUUAAGGUGUGCACAAUAUGCAAUAUGGGAAAACAACAACGAGAAAAUUUCCCAAAGAAGAGCAAGUGGAGAGCAACAAAGAAACUAGAACUAAUUCAUGCGAAUCUAUGUGGUCCAAUCACCCCAACGUCUCACAGUGGAAAAUAGUAUAUGUUCGUGCUCGUCGAUGAUUUUUCCCAGAAAACAUGGAUUCAUUCUCUUGCAGAAAAAGCAGAAAUGUUGAGGCUUUCAAAGAGUUCAAAAUUUCUGCUGAAAAAGAAGCUAAGACUGUCAUUCGGGGUCUGAGGAUAGACAGAGGAGGCGAAUUCACCUCAGACAAAUUCAACAAAUUUUGCAGAGAGCAUAUCAUAAAACGACAAUUGACGGCAUCGUAUACUCCUCAACAAAACGGAGUAGCAGAGAGGAGAAACUGAACUAUAAUGAACAUGGUGCGUUGCUUGCUCUUCGAGAAAGAAAUGCCAAGAUUUCUAUGGUCAGAAGCAGUUAGAUGGACAGUUCAUGUUUUGAAUCGAAGUCUCACAAAGGCAAUAAAAGAUAAGGUGCCUGAAGAGAGAUGGACAGAAAUCAAGCCAAAGGUUGACUAUUUCAGAGUUUUUGGUUCAAUAGCUCACGUUCAUGUUCUGACCACUGGUGCAGAAACAUAAAACAAGUGCGGCUAUUUCGAAUUUAUAAAUGCGACUUUAUAGCUGCAUUUGAUCAACACGCAUUUGUAAAUCAAGAAAUACAAAUGCGGCUAUAUAGCCGCAUUUAUAAAUACCAUUUACAAGUGCAGCUAUUUGUUUUAGCCGCACUUGUAUAUGUAAAUCAUUAAAAAAAAUUAAAAUUUUUAAAACAUCGUCAAUCUUGUGUGAAGGCAACGUUGAUGAAGAGUCACGGGAGCGCCAACAACGAUGGCAACAGCAGAAGCGGCGGCGGACAGGGAAGCAACGAUGGAGCAAACCAAAAAAUCCACAAGAACCCACGAAGACAAUGAAAGAGUACUGAGUAAUGCAAGAAACCAAACAAUGUAAGAAAAACGAAUGUUAGCCAACGGAACAGUGCUUCGAGACCACCAAUGCAAGGAAAAAAACAUAUAUAAGAAAAACGAAAACAUCUAUGCAUAUAUUUGUGAAAAUGAAGAGGAAGGAAGAGAGCUCAAGAAACUUACAUUGACACAAAUGGAAUGCAAAUGCAGUAGAAGGAGACGAACUCAGAGUGCGAACGUGAAACGAAGGCAAAGACGAGAAAGAAAGUAUGAAAUUGUGUGUGGCGCGCUUCAAAAUUUAGGGUAAAAAAGGAUUUACGAAUGCGGCUAAAGGUAAAACCGCAUUCGUAAAUCAAAGAGUUUUGAUUUACGAAUGCGGCUAUUUGUAUAGCCGCAUUCGUAAAUCAAGCACUUUGAUUUACAAGUGUGGCUAUACAAAUAGCCGCAUUCGUAAAUCAGGCGCUUUGAUUUACAAGUGCGGCUAUAUAAAUAGCCGCAUUCAUAAAUCAAAACUCUUUGAUUUACGAAUGCGGUUAUACAAAUAGCCGCAUUCGUAAAUCAAAAUAAUUUCAAAAAUGCCACCGCGUUUUUUACGAAAGCGGGUAGCGCAAAAGCUGCACUAAAUAAAGAGUAUCCUUUUCUUCUUUUUGCAUUAGUGGACACAAAAGAGAAUCAAGCUUGAUGAUCGAAGUCAUAGAUGUAUCAUGCUUGUAGUUAGUGAGGUAUCAAAGGCUUAUCGACUGUAUGAUCCAAUCACGAAGAAAAUCACAAUAAGUAGAGAUGUUAUUUUCGAAGAAGAAGCGCAGUGAGACUGGACAUUGAGUACACCAGAGCAUAACAUAUUCACAUGGGAUGAUGAUGAUGGAAUUCUCGAAGGAGAACAAACUGAGGACGAAUAUGAGGGAGAAGGACCUGAAAAUUCUGAAGCAAUAAAUGCUCUGAGAGAAGAAAUAGAAGAGAUCACUACAACAACAAUUUUUGUGCGUGAACGUGAAAAACAAUAAAAAAGAGCAAGAAAGCCGCUUGGAUGGAUGCAAGAUUUUGUUAAUGGAGAAGAAGAAGAUGAUAAUUGGGCAAAAUAUGUUUUUUUCAUAUGUAAUGAUGAUUCGAUAAACUUCUCUAAAGCGGAACUAAAGCGGAAAAGGAAGAAAAGUGGAAUAAAGCAAUGAAGUUGGAGAUUUAGUCCAUUGAAAGAAAUAACACUUGGGAACUCACAUAAUUUCCAAUAGGAGCAAAGACAAUCGAUGUCAAAUGGAUAUACAAAAACAAAGCUGAAUUAAGAAGGAAAUGUCGAAAAAUGCAAAGCACGUUCAGUGGCGAAAGGCUACUCUCAAACAACAGGGGUGGAUUAUACAGAAGUUUUUGCACCAGUGACCAGAUGGGAUACAAUUAGGAGUAUUCUUGCAGUAGCUGCCCAGCAAGGUUGGUGUGUUUAUCGACUCGACGUCAAAAGUGUUUUUCUAUACGGUGAAUUGAAAGAGGAAGUCUAUAUUGAUCAACCUGAAGGGUAUCUUAAAGUAAGGGAGGAAGACAAAGUCUAUCGUUUUAAAAAGGCUUUCUAUGGCUUAAAACAGGCGCCAAGAGCAUGGUUAAGCAAAAUUAAGAGUUACUUUACAAAGGAAGGGUUCAAGAAAAGUGACUAUGAUCACACCCUGUUCUUUAAGAAAACAGAAAACAAUUUAUUGGUGGUAAGUCUUCUAUGUUGAUGACUUGAUUUUUACUGGAGGUGACGAGAUAUUGUGCGUAGAAUUCAAGUCCUCAAUGCAGAAAGAAUUUGAAAUGAUGGACAUGGGAAAUAAGUAUGGAAAGGAGUAUGCAAAGGAGGUGUUGGAGCGUUUUAAUAUGGGGAACUAUAACUCUGUCAAAAAUCCAAUAGUUCCAGGAACUACUGUUUCAAAGGAAGGUAUUAAAAGAGGUGAUGCAACACUCUACAAGCAACUUGUUGGCUGUCUAAUGAUCUUACGGUAACAAGACCUGAUUUGAUGUUUGUAGUGUGUUUGAUUUCACGCUUUAUGUCUGACCUUAAGGAAGAACAUAUGUUGAUUGCCAAAAGAGUACUAAGAUACGUAAAAGGAACACAUGACUUUGGAGUGUUCUAUGGGAGAUCGUCAAAAAUAAAUUUGUUGGGAUACACGGAUAAUGACUAUGCUCGAGAUGUAGAUGACAGGAAGAGCACCUCUAGAUAUGUUUUCUUGCUAAAUAGAGUUGUAGUUAGUUGGAGUUCACGAAAGCAAGACAUUGUCACUCUUUCCUCAACCAAAGUUGAAUAUGUUGCAGUGAGUUCCUCUGCGUAUCACUGUGUUUGGCUAAAAGGGAUGUUGUGGGAAUUAGGAUUUGUAAAUGGUGAAUGCAUAGACAUUAUGUGUGACAACAACUCAACGAUUAAGUUAUCUAAGAAUCCAGUCAUGCAUCAGAGGACAAAACACAUUGAUGUUAGGUAUCACUGCUUGCGAAACUCGUGUGAAACUAGUGUAAUGAAGAAAUCAUGAAGCUGAUUUUGUUGGAAUAAAUGAUCAAGUUGCAGACAUCAUGACUAAGCCUAUCACGUUGGAUCACUUGGUGAAGCUCAUGAAUUUGCUUGGAGUUCGAAUGAUGAAAAAUUAAACAACAACAUCAGUUUAAGGGAAGAAAUUAUGAAUAUUUGACAAAGUCUUAAGAUGAAUAAGUCAAGCUAGUUUUGCAGAUUUUUUUUUUCAAGAGUGGUUUCUAUUUUUUAGUUAUUUGUUCUUAUAUUUCGAUUUUUCGGUGGUGGUGGUAAGACUUCUAUAAAAGUCCUUCUAUUUUUAUUUUUAUUGUGGAAAAUACAAAAUAUUUCUAUUAAACGUCACUGGAAUUCCACCGUAGCGCCUGAAUUCACCGUUUCCAACUUCAAUUUGCUUGAGUAAUUUUUCGUUCGCACAAAUUGCUUCAAAUUCAGUUUACAAGAUUGAAUCAGAACCACCGAAAAUUAAUCACCAUUCCAAUAAUCUUCUCCGUUCACUAAUUUUAGGUCACCGGAAACUGCUAUUUCCGUUCACCGAUUCCGUUCGUCAGAAUCCGCAAGAGUUCUAGUCACAAAUCGCAAAUAAAGAAUUGCACCGAUGCACGCCAAUGAAUUCGUUUUUGUUUCUGCCUUUUCAAUAUCGUGCCAAGAACUCCAGCAAAAUUGAUGAACACAAUGGGAAAACGUAAAUCGGAAAGUUGCACAAACAAUCUGUUCACCUCUCUCACCAGCCAACACCUUUUGCACAACACGGUGAAGAUAAAAUAAAUCACCGAUCUACUUUUUCAUUUCAGCUGCUUCUCCUAUCAAUUUCUGACCAAGCUUCGAGACAUGAAUCGGUUCAGAUGGAGCAGAAGAGGAUUUGAAAACUUCUGAUAUUACAAAAUCGCGCCAAAAACUCAAGCAGAGAAUCAACGUGGAUGAAGACACAUCAAGAAUUCCACAUAAUUUUGAAUAAGAAAUCAAAUUUGAUAUUCUCACCUCUACAGACUUCUUUUUACACCACAGAAUAUAUUUUUGGAAAAUUUCGAAAAUUUUCAAAAAUAAAUUUUGGAGAAGAUGAUAAUGAAAAUCUAACUUUAAAGAAAAUUGGUAAUAUGAUCUAAUAAAAAAUUAUGAACUCAAGAAUGAAAAAUAAAAGCACUCAAGACUCUAAAACAAAAAUUGAUUUUUCUUUUGAAGAAGUUCCACUAAUAGAGUUUAUGACAAAUUUAAACUAAACAUAAUUCUAGACAAAAUAUUUAUAAUUUUAAAAUUAAAAUAACUCAAUUAUAAGAAAAUUUCAUCCAACAAAAUUUAAAAAAACUCAAGAAAGUUCAUUUUUUUUUAUUCAUGAUAAAAUAUGUAUUAACUUCUCAUAUUAGACAAUGUCUUAUCAUUAUUCUUCAAUCAACAAAUACCUACUUAAAGGACUAUAUGUAAAAAUGACAAUAGUUCAAUGUAUCCAUUAAUGUUUAGAUAUUUUAUAAUUAACGUCAGUUUAAUCGAUUCUACUCGCGUUUCUCUUUUUUCUUGUAGUCAAAUUAGAAUUCUAGACUAUAAUAAUAUCUCAUUUAGGUCGACGGAAAGUUUGAAAACUAAUCUCAUGUUUGCAAUACUAAAUAUUAGAAAAAUAUAAAUCAUGAUGGCUUAAAAGCAUUUAUUUGUAUUUAGUCAAUUGUCUUAACCAAUAUUAAUCAUAUAAAUUAUCACCUAUUAAUGAAAUAUUUAGAAGUGAUAAAUAAUAAUUUUGUAAACAUAUUUAUAUAAUUGUUUAAAAUAUAAAUUGUUUGAGUGUGCAUGAUAAUGUUUGCAAUUUAUUAUAUAUACUUUAACAAAUAUUUAGAAAUGUGACAAUGUAAAAUUAAAAAUCAAUAAAAAAUAUAUUAAAAAUUACAAUAUAAAAUAUUUAAGUUAAAACUUAAUAUCUGCGAAAAGAGUUUUUUUUUUAAUUUAAAUAUAAUAAACUAUCUGUAAUCAUCACUUAAACAAGAGAAAAAUAGCACGCCUUCUGUCUUAAAUCAUCGCGUGUAAUCAUUACUUUUGCUUAAUUACAUCCAAAGCAGAAAUUUUGGCCAUUUUGCAUGCAAUUCAUGUAACUAUUUUAGAACGUAAUACCAUGUCCUUGUAUCCCAUAGUUCACUACAAAAUACAAAAUAAUAUAAACAAGUGAAACAUCAAGGACAACCAAGUGUUUAGAAAAAAGGAGGAUGCAAAUAACUAGUCUUACCAGUAAAUAGUUUCAACACUUAAUUAGCUAGAGUUGGUUGUUUGAUAGUCAGUCACUAUUUCAUCUUCUAGAAAUAAAAUAGGCUUUGGAGGUAUUUCCAAGUCUUCAAUAUCCCCUUCAAGCAUUUUCACUACUCUAUUCAUUGAGGGUCGAUCAUUUGGUUUUAGUUGUAUACACCAUAGUGCAACUAUGAUCAUUUUCUUUGCUAUUUUAUUUUCCUCCUCUGUCACAUCUCCGAUAUCUACGUCUUCCUCUUCCCGAAUAUAAUCAUGUAUCCAAAGGGGAAAGUAAAGUUGACUUGAGUGAUCUGCAUGAGUAUUUAGAUUCUUCCUCUUACUUGCCAUCUCCAUCAAUAACAUUCCAAAGCUAUAAACAUUAGCCUUAUAGGAUAUUCCUCCAAUAUUAUUAUAAAACAAUUUUGGAGCCAUAUAUCCAAUGGUUCCUCUUGCUGCAGUCAUUGUGACGAUGCUAUUAUUUAUUGGAUAUAACUUUGCCAAUCCAAAGUCAGAAACCUUAGGGAUGAAGUUUUCAUCUAGUAAGAUGUUAUGGGGUUUGAUGUCAAAAUGCAAAAUUUGCAUCUCACACCCAUGGUGGAGAUAAGCAAUCCCACGAGCCACUCCUAUUGAUAUAUUAUAUAUCUUUUCAUAGCUUAAAUGUAUAUUUCUCUCUUUUGAGAGAAUAAAUUUAUCAAGAGAUCCAUUGGGCAUGAAUUCAUAGACAAGAGCACGCUUUGAGCCACUAACACAAAAUCCAAUUAACUUUACCACAUUUUGAUGAUGUAUCCUUCCAAUGGUUGCAACUUCACUGAUAAAAUUUUGUCCAUUUCCUUUGCAUUUCCCUAACAUUUUGAUGGCGACAUAAGGCCCACUACGCAACUUUGCCUUAAAGACAUAGCCAAAUCCUCCUUCGCCUAACUUAUCUUUGAAACCUGCAGCCAUCUUCUUAAUUUCCUUGUAUGAGUAUCUAAUAUGUGCCAAACUAUUUUGCUGAAGGUAAUUUUCAAUAUUUUCAUACAUUGACAUAUGUCUUUUUCUCCAUUUACGUAUAAAAAUAACAAUUAAGAAUGGCAACCCAAACAAAACUUUGUAAGCCCAUAAUAUAGAGAUAUAUAUGAGAAUAUCGGCAAGAAGUUGUUACUUGAGUGAUUAUUACACUAAUAAUAUAAUGCAAUAAAGUAUAUGAGAAAGUAAAUUAUCAUUCAUAAAAUCCAAACUUUACUCAUCUAUUUACUUAGUAACAUUACAAAAAGUGUAAAUUUAAUUAUCAAUAAAUUUCUUUUUUAACGUUGCUAUCUAUGAAUAAAUUUUCCUGUAACAUUAAUGUGUUCUAAGACCUAAUUCAGUGAUGGUUGUAAAAAAUGCAAACAAUUUUUUUAAAAUAAUUUCUUUAUUUAGUUUCUAUAAACUUUUAAUAAUUAUAAUUUUGUUUCAUGUGGAUUGUCUAUUUUAUGGUGUACGUUGUAAUGAUGAAAUAGAGACAAUAAUACACCUGUUUUGUAGAAUGCAAAAUGAUUAGUAAGGAUAAAUGGAUAGGAGUUGAUUCGGUGUCAUAAUGAUACUAAGUUUAACUAUUAAUAGUUUUACUCAGUUCACUUAGAGUUGUGGGUUAGAUGUCAGCUGGUAUACAACAGGCUCGUUUAAAUUCCGUAUUAUGAAAAUUUUGGAAAAAGAAACUAGUAUCACAACUAAUUUUGGUACGUAAAUGGAACAUGUUCGCAAAUGGAGGCUGAUUACUCUCUCAUAUUUUGUAUAAAGGAGUUGAGUUGUAUUAUCUUUCAAAUGUUUUAUUUAACUUUAUUAAUUCUUUGCUAAUACAAAAAAUAAAAAUAGAUAAAAAAUUCUCACCUUUUUCAUAUACUAUUAUUAGUUCUUCCAGUAUUCCUGUAUCACCCAAAAACGAAGGAAAAUAUCAAUUUCAGAACUGUUAAUCUCAAUAAAAAUAUAUGUUUGACAUUUGGAUUAGGAUUACUCACCAACAGCAUACGGGCAUUUAAGCUUCUGGUUAUAAGAGUCGAAAUAGCCAUAACUAGGGAAAAAUAGACAAUGUUUAUGACAUGCUAGUUUUAUCCAUGAAAUCUCGAAUCCAUAGGCGAGUGCUGUGUGCAUGGAAGAGUAGGAAUGGUUAUCGAAAGUGGAGAGAGAAGUGGGAGCAACAAGCUUUACCUCACACCCAAUUUCUAAGUCCUCAGCUUUUAGGUCUCCACCAAUUGCAUAUGCAUACCCCUUCCCCUCCCACUUCACCCACUCUCCACUCUCCACAUACUUCCCUUUCUCUUUCACCCAAUCCUUACAAUUCACAAACACUAUAUGCGAGAAACUCACAGAUUUCCAAUUAAAAAUGGCACCUAGACCGGCUUGGUAUUGAUCCGAGUAUAAAGUGUAAGUGUCAGAGAAAUUGGAGCGAGAGAGGAAGCGGAGAGGAAGGGAGGAGAGGUUAUGGUGUUGAAGAGCAGGAUCAACCACUCUCACUGUGUAGUUCUUGUAGUUUAUUGACUGCACAUUAUAUUUUCCAGAGUACAGAUACAACACCGUGACGUUAUUCUCACAACCAAGCUCAUACCUUUUCUCACCACACUCUUCUGGGUCGCCUUUUAAUCGAAAAGGGUAAUUGAUGUUGGUGAUUUUAGCACAGGAAGAAGAGGGGCAGCCACCAUGAAUUUUCCGGACAAGAAGUAGCAGUAGCACCAUGAAUGCCCUCUCUCUCCACAUCAUGUCCAAACUGUUUCUCAUUUAAUUCAAGUGCAAACAGAUCGAAGUUAGAUAUUUAUAUAUAACACAACACAGACCGAACUAUAUUUAUAAUUAUGAAGGACCACGUUACUUAAAACGUGGUCUUUGACUCGGAGACCGCGUUUCUACAUGGUUUCAAAUAUUCGUGAAAUGCAUGAAUUCUGAUUUAGAUAUUCGUGUAGUAAUUCUGAUUUCCUUUCUUGCUUUCUUCUUCAUGUAUUUUUCUGAAACAUAAUACAUAAAGCAAGGUUUUGUUAUGAAUCUUUGCAAUAAUCCCGCAAGCUCAUAUUACUUGGAGAAAAUUCUGGAAUUGCGGUUAUCUCUCCUCAACUCAAUGGAGAAAAUCCCUUCGCAAAAAGGGAAAAUUGUGGUAUUAAAGUUCACACCCUCCUAGUUAAGUUUGAUCUUGUUGGUACUUAUUCCACCAUAACCCUCCAAGAAAAGGUUUGAGCAUUUUGGAAUGCUUUGACAUUCUCAAACAAAUUGAGUAAAGUAUUGUUAGCACUCACAUAGGUAUUUUUUAAUAUAGCAUAUGAUGACUUGAAAUAGAGAAUAAUCUAGGGAAUUUUUGUUUAAGGGUCACCUCUCCUAACUAUACUUUCAAUAAGUGAUUGAUAGAUGUUAUUUAUUGACUUAUUUUUCUACAUGCCCUUUGUGACGUUAUAGGUAAGUUUCAAUAUUAAGCCUCUAAGGCUCGGCCUGAGGCUAGUAGGAUGUAUGGUAUUAUAGGUAGGUUAUGAUCUAUAUAACGAUAAUUUGAAUUGAAUGGGAGUCAAUUCUAGAAAAAAUCCUACUAUUAUAUAUUAUAUAUAAUUGAUGAGUCCCAUUAAUGUCUCCUAGACAUUUAAGACAAUUUAAGGAAAGAAUAAAGUGUUAAAGUACGACCAAAUACAAGAAAUGGGGUGAAUUGUUUUCACAAUAUUUUCGUAAUAUGGAGUCAACUUGAAAUUUUAAUAAAAUCAAUUAAUUGAUUUAUCUGUUCAACUAAUUAUAAAAAGCACAACAAGUAUAUAUUAAAAAAUUAAACUAAUUGUUAUGAGAAUUCAACCAAUUGAUUUAAAUGCAAAAAGUAGAAGGUUAUUAAUUAAAUAGAUAUAUUGUAAUUAUUGUAUUAACUAUUCCUAUUUUAUCGAACCCAAGUUCUUUCUUUGACUAAAGAAACAUUAACCACUAGACCAGACAAGUUCUUUAGUCAUAUUAUCACUUUUAUUAUACUUAUUAUUAUUAAUAUUAUUAAUAUUGUUAGUAUUGUUAAUAAUAACUAUAAUAAAAAUCAUGAUAAUACUAAAGAAUUUGUGUGUGGUAGUGGUUAAAUUUUCUUUGGUCACGGAAGGAACUUGGUUUUGAAUCCCAUCUAUUGCAAAUUUUAUAGAGGACAUGCACGUAGACGUCGUGGUCACGGAAACAACAAUGAAGAAAGAGGACAAAUGAACCAACAAAACUGGCGUGGACGAGGUCGUGAUCUUGGUGGUCAUUCACAUCAUUCAAAUGUUGAAUGUUACAAUUGCAAGAAAUAUGGACACUAUGCAAAGGAGUGUUAUGCCAAGAAAAAAGUGGAAGAAAGUGCAAAUUUAGUGGAGGAAGAUGAGACAAAAGAGGGAGAAAUUCUCAUGAUGGCCAAUGAAGGUGUCAUUUUGGAUAGUGACAUGGUAUGGUAUCUAGACAUUGGUGCUAGUAAUCAUAUGUGUGAGCACAAAUAUCUCUUUCUUGAUAUACAAGAGAUAGAAGAUGGACAUGUGUCUUUUGGAGACUCAACAAAAGUUUCAAUCAUAGGUCGGAGAAAAAUAUGUUCUUCCCAAAAGGACAAAAAAGAAUGCACUAUGGAGGAUGCUCAUUAUGUACUUGAUUUGAAGAAUAAUAUUCUUAGUAUGGGACAAUAGUUGGAGAAGGGUUAUUCGGUUUCCAUGAAAGACCAGAUUUUGCACUUGAAGGACAAAAAUGGACGAGUGCUUGCAAAUGUGGAGAUGGCGAAUAAUCGAAUGUUCAAACUUAACUUAAAGAAUACAUUGUUGGAGAAGUCCUUUUGUGAUGAAAAAAAUUGAGAUUGAAGAUUUAAGAGAAAAAUCAAGUAGUUUGAAAGAAUUUUGCAAUUUUCUGAAUAAUGAAAAAGCAAAAUCUUCUAAAUGAAAGGAGUGUCCUACUAUCUCAAUUGGAGAGUGUUGAAGAAAAAUUUGGUAACCUGGAAAGAAGGUUUACAAAAUUGGAAGAAAAAUAUAUUGAUAUGGAGAAAGACAAAGAAAGUAGAGUCAAUCAAGUUGAAGAACUCCAUUUGUUACUUUUGGCACAAAAGGAAAAGGUGAAUGAAUUACAAUCUAAAUUAGAAAUCCAUUAUAAUUUUACAAAUUCCCUUGAAGCUAUCAAGAAGCUAAGGGUAGAACCAAAGGUGAAUGACAAGUAUCUUCCAUCUUUUGUUAAUACUUCAGAUAGUAUGAUUGCAGGGUGCAGUAAAGUUGUUUGUGACAAUAAUGGUUUUGAUUUGAGAAAAGACAAUAAAUGGAAUGCUGUCAAGGCAUCAUCUGGAAGGGAUAUAUGGUCUAAUCAUUAUGUUCCAAGCUCAUUGAAGCCGCAGUCUUUCUUAAAUCCUUUUAAUUCAAAGGGUGAAAGUGCAAAAGAUUUUAUUUGGGAGACUAAAAGUAUUUCAAUCCAGAACUCUGCAUGGGUUGGUGCAGUGAAGAAGACUGAAGUUGCUUUGAAUUCAUAACAAUGUGGUGACUGUUGGGAAAAUAUUGAAAAUGUGGGUGAUGACGAUCAGAAAAAACAAUCUGAAUAAAGAAUAUGAAAGGUUUAAGAGAGGAAUUGGUUAACAUUAAACUCAAAGCAGUCAUUAGUUUUAUUUAGAAAUUUGAAUGGUCAAUAAUUAUUAGCUUUAAUCAUAGUUUUGAAUGUCAUUUAAAUUGUGAUUUUAAAUGUAAUUUAUAGUAUAACUUUGAUGAGAGAGAAUGUAGAAUUUGAAAAGUCUAUUGUAAGACUAUUUCCAAAAAUUGUAUUCUUAUUUGAAAAGUAAUAGUGAAAUAAAAGUUUUAUUCUCGGUUCAUACUCGAAACUCAGAGAUUCCCAAUUUUCAUAGGGUCUUAGACCGGCUUGGUAUGGAUGCGAGUAGUAAAAGGAAGUGUAAAUGUAAGUGAGAAAUUGGAGCGAGAGAGGAAACGGAGAGGAAGGGAGGAGAGAUUAUGGUGUUGAAGAGCAGGAUCAACCACUCUCACCGUGUAGUUCUUGUAGUUUAUUGCCUGCACAUCAUAUUUUACAGAGUAAAGAUACAACACCGUAACGUUAUUCACACAACCAAGCUCAUACCUUUUCAGACCACACUUUUCUGGGUCGCCUUUGAAUCGAAAAGGGUAAUUGAUGUUGGUGAUUUGACCACAGGAAGAAGAGGGGAAACCACCAUGAAUUUUCCAGACUAGAAGUAGCAGUACCACCAUGAAUGCUCUCUCUCUCCACAUAAUUUCCAAACUGUUUCUCAUUGAAUUCAAUUGCAAACAAAUCCAAGUUAGAUAUUUAUAUCUAAAACAACACACACUGAAUAUAUACCUAUGAAGGACAACAUUUUUCCUUUUACAGAAUUGUUUGAAGACGUAUGAUACUUAAAACGUAGACUUUGACUCAGAAACCGCGUUUCUAUCUGGUUUCCACAACUCAUUUUAAUGAAUACCAAAUUUUAAAUAUUCGUAAAGUGCAUGAAUUCUGAUUUAUGUAUUUAAUCAUGUAAUGUACAUUAAUGGUGUUCUUUGAGUUUCUAAAACCAUCCUAAAUUGUUCUUUUUGGAAGCUUAUAUUUCGAAAUAUAAUUUUAAUGACUAUAGAAUUUGAGUCCCAAAUAAUGUUUGUUUGGUUAAGAAACUUUAACAUGUGAUUGGUACAUAUUGUUUUGGUGACUUUUUGCCCCAAAAAGGGCCUCAUCUGUUUCCUCGUGUUAAUUUCAUGAACAUAUUCUUGUUGGACAUGGGAGAAGAAAAGAGUGACGGUGGGCACCAAGUGUGGUAGCAGAAAAAAGCACUAACAAUGCCUGACCUUUUCUGUAUGUGUAAAAGGUCAAGGACAGAGAAAAACAUAUGGAAGCAAUUCCACACACGUAACCCAAAAUUCCACCAUGUUUUUUAGCUUGUGCCUUGAAAAACUCAAUAAUUAAAAGUGCGUUUCCAAGAAUUUGACGAAGUUACUCACCAUUAACUAGUUGGUAUUGGUAGAUCACACUCUGUAAACUCACCAGAUCACUCAUCAUCAAGGUUCAUUGAUAAAGGUGUAUCCUAGCCAUCACAACGUGUAUAAUAAAACAUGUCCAAAAGAUUCACACUUAUUGUGAAUCAUUGACAACCUAAUAGAUGGUGUAUUGGGGUACUAGAUGUUGAGUUUCAUGGACAACAUAAUAUGCAGCAACCAUGCAGCUAUCUUCUUUCAUGGUUUGUGUGCUGUCAUAUAUACUUUUUUCUGGUUUUCUGCAUAAUCUGCAGCAAUCUUUUAUGUUGUAUUGGGGUCUAGAUGUUGAGUUUCAUGGACACUUAUUUAAAUUAGAACUAAACUAGAAUGAAUCUGAAUAUGAAGACAAAACAACAUUAUGGUAGAAAUAUUUAUUUUUUCCUUAUUUUCUUUUCUAAAACAUCAUUCAAAAUUUUCGGUGGUUAUUGCAUAAUUAAUUUCAGAUGUAUAUUUCUUACGUAAAAAUUAAAAAUUGAAAGUUAGAAUUAUAUUUUCCAAAAAUCAAUGACCCAUCAAACAACUUUGUUCCGUUCUUGUUUAUUAUAAAAAAGUACUUUCAAAAUUCGAUUAUAUAAAAACCUUGAAAAUUUUUGUUUUUUGAAAUAAGAAAUAAAGGUGAGAAUUGGAUUUUCUGUGAACCAAAUUCUCAUGUUAACAUAAAUGGUGCUAUAAAAAAAUUAAAUUUCAAAUAGUAUUUUCUAAGAAAUUAAAUAUGAAAUGGUACUAAUCAUAGAAUUAAUUCUCAAUCUCAAAUGAUAUUUUCCAAGGAGUUAAAUAUCAAAUGGUAUUGUCCAUAUAAUUAAAUCGCUAGAGCGUUCCAGUUGGAGAAAAGAAGUCAACAUUUAAUAUUUAUUAAACACUAUUCAAACUACUCUAAAGAUAAAAAAAAAUGGUAUAUUUUAAAAAUAAUGAAUAAAUAACGAAAAAAAACAUUUAGAAUGAUAAAAAUAUAAUUUUGAGAAAUAUAAAUAAAAAAUAUUUUUGUUGGGUCAUGGGUCUGGGCUGACCUUGGGUCAUUAAGGUAAGAUUGUGAUCUACAUGGAUAAUAUAAAGGAAAUAGCAUGAAAUACGAGAUCUGAAUUUAUUAGCAUUAACCAGACAGUAAGAAUCAUAACGAAAGUCUUGAGGUUAAGACUGACUCCAUAUAUACUGGGUAAAACCUCACACAUAGAGAGAUUAGAGAUUAGGUCAAAAGCACACUUGUUCUUGGCUACCUUUAAUGUUCUGGAUUAAGGUCGUCCAUUGGCCUGUCUAGAACAUUUUGGUGCCCACCGUGGGACUAGGUAAAUUGUUCCUACCUUCACAAUAUUUUCCUUAUUUCACGUAUGCUUAUUUAAAUGAGAGGAACGAGGCGAACAACAAUGGAAGAAGAAGUUGGUGGAGCCCAGAAUGAGGGAUCUUCAUCAGAUACGAUUCGUAUGUUGAUGGAAAUGAUGGAAACUAUGAGGAGACAAAAUGAUGAGUGUGCAGAAGCGUUUAGAAGAUCACAGGAGGAGACCAGACAAAGAAUGGACUAGGCAAUUAGAGGACAAGAGCGGUUACAAGUGCGAAAUGAAGAGUUACAAAAGCGGGUAGAUGAGCGAGUUGCUAGAAAGUGGGUGAUGGAGAGGUAGAGUCAGAUUUCCAACCAUUUUCAGAAGAUAUCGUGAAUGAACAAAUUCUGGCAAAUUAUGUUUUCCCCAAAAUUGGUUCAUUUACAGGAAUGCAGGAUCUGAAUGCUCAUAUAAAAACGUUCAGGGCACAUAUGUUAAUUCAUGGAGGUUCGGAUGCUCUUCGAUGAAAGGAAGGUAUGGUGGAUAUAAAUCUUCGAGCCAUGUCUUACAUUAAAGUGGAAGAAUUUACUAAAAGGAAGAAGGAAUAGGAAAUGAGAGGUGAAGAUGGGAUGCGGUCAAAAGGUGAAAAGGCAGUAGUAAAUUUUAGAUCAAGCAAUAACAAUGGAGGUCUGAUCAAAGUAAGGAGGGAGGAUCGGUCAUAUGGAAGACCAUAUGGAGAAAGGAGACAUACGAAUGAAAGAAGGGAGGAGAUACAUGCAUGGUACCCGCCAAAGUUGACAGCAUCUCAUAAUGAUUUCGCAUUUGGAAACUUGAAAAAAAAAUAGUAACCCAAUUGUUCUAACUUUAAAGAUGUAAAGUAUUUAAUAGAGAAAAACAAGAGAAAAAUAUUGUAGAUGUACUUCUACUUAAAAAAAGAAGGUGAAUGUAAAACAAAACUUUAUUAUGCAUCGUUAAAUAGUAUGCUUCACUAAAGGAUCAAUUACAUAUAUACUUGUACAUUAAAUAAUAUUAUAAAAUAGAAUAGAGAUAAACAAAAGAGAUCAGAGGUGAACAAAAGAGUAAAAGAAAGACAAAUGAUAUGAGAAUGAAUAUUAAUUAUUCAUGGAAUCAAAACAAAUAUAUACAAGUAGUACACUCAUUCUAGGUCUAGCUAAAAAGAGAAAGAAUCAAUCAAUAAAUACUAAAAUCAUAACAGAGAAAGACAAAAUAAAGGUUAUUUACCUCUAUAAAGAGAAACAACUAAGAAUUAGAAAAGACACCCAAAUAUUGAUGAGACCCAUCUUGGAACAAAUACUCUUGAAAGAUUGAGAGAACUUAAAGCUUUGGUAUAAAUGUCAACCAGUUGCUUUGUGGUGAAAAUGGGAAGCAAAUGGAUGAGACACUUCUUUAUUUUUUCUCUAACAACGUGACAAUCUAUUUCUAUAUGUUUCGUACGCUCGUAAAACACUGGAUUUGUUGCAAUGUAUCUUGCCGAGUCAUUUUCACAGUAUAAAAGAAAUGGUUGCUCAAAAGGAACUUUGAAAUCUUGAAGAAGAUAAGUUAGCCAUUGAAUUUCACAUGUAAUAGUGGUCAUUGCCCUGUAUUCAGCUUCACAGGAACUCUUUGAUAUUUUUCCUUGCUUCUUUGCUUUUCAGGAUAUGAGAGAAUUUCCAAGUUACACACUAAAACUAGUCACUGAUUGACUUGAAUCACUGUUGAUACCCCAAUCACUAUCACAAAAGGCUUUGUGAUGAGCAGAAGUGUUGAAAGAGAAAAAUAAACCAAGACUUGGAGCUCCUUUAAGAUACAUGAUAAUUCUAAUCGCUACAGUAUAAUGAGAAGCUGUAGGCUUAACAAGAGACUGAGAAAGUUGUUGCACAAAAAUGUUAUGUCAGGUCGGGUAUUAGUGUGAUAUAUAAGUCUUCCAAUCAAUCUUCUGUAGGCUUGAAUAUCUAUGAAAGGAACACUUCCAGUAGAAGAGAAUUUUUCAUGAUUAUCAAUAGUGAAUGCAGGUUUGUAGGCUAAAAGACUUGCAUCUGUUAACAAUUCCAUGCAUAUUUCCUUUGAUUCACCAUUAUUCCUUUCUUACUUCUUGCUACUUCUAGACCAAAAAAAUAUCUUAAAUCCCCAAGACAUCGACUUGUUCUCUAAUUUGGGAGAAGGAAGUUUGAAAAGUCACACUAUCAAGAUCUGAUACUUGAUAAUCGAUGCAAAUACCUCAUACGACAUUCUCCUGAGAAGAUUAUUCUUAAACAACCUAGAAGCUAUAGUUUCAACAUGGCACUUAAUAGUGAAGUUCCCUUAUGCAUCCGGAGACAUCAUCACGAUCCACGUCAAUUAAAGAACCAUGGGAGAAUGCUACUUUGUCAUCUUGAGAAUUGCACCCUUAUAUCCUAGUUGAGAUUUCCAAACGACAUAUGAUUGACCUCAAUCCUUGAAUAAAUGAUGAUGUAAGGAUCAAGCUCGACGAAGACACAACCACCAUUUGAUUAAGGCACAAAGGGCAAGAAACAAGGAUAUGGACCAACCUCAUAGAAUCUGAGGCAAGAUGAUAUAUUGGGUCCUAAUUCAAAAUGCUAACUUAUUCACAUGGACAAUCGAAAACAUGCCAGGGGUAGACCCUGAGGUGAUCUUGCACAAGUUAUUUGUGUAUAAGGAAGCUUGCCAGGAUUGCAAAAGAAGACAAAAUUAGGGGAUGAGAAGUGAAAAGUUGUCGAAGAGGAGGUUGAGAAGCCUAUCAAUGCUAAAUUUAUAUGAGAAACACGAUACACAACAUGGUUAGAAAACAUAGUUAUGGUAAACAAAGUCAGUAAAAAAUUGAGAAUGUGUACAAAGUAUAUGGAUAUCAACAAGGCAUAUCCUAAAGAUAUUUAUCCCUUACAAAGUAUAGACUACAAGACACAAGGUCCUCAACUUCCUAAACGCCUACUCAAUAUAACCAAAUAUAAAUGCACUCAAAAAAUGAGAAAAAGAUGAUUUCUAUGAUCAACAACGCCAACUAUUUUUCUCCAAGUUUGAUUCAACUUUGUCCGAGUAAACAACAUCAAUUUUUCCAAAAACUUAUGCAACCGAAAUGGAUGUUCUUGCAACUCCCACAUCUGAUGCAAAAUUGAUCGUAAUGUUGUAACCCACAACUAUUGAAACAAAGACUUAUUCCUAAACAUGUUUGUGAUAUUAGUCACAAAGAUAUUUACAACACUAGUUAAUCAAUAUAUAUCAUUAAGCUUUAUUGGAUUAUGAAUGUUGUAAAUGUUGGCUUGUCCUUUUUUGUUUUUCAUUAAACUAAGGACAUUCAUUAAUUUUCUCUUAUUUUUUUAUUAUUACUAUUUAUUCUUAUUAGUUUAUCAUUAUUCUUAUAUGACAAAGAGGCCACAAAUUCUUACUCAAUACCCGCUGCUCGAAAUCUUGAAUCUAUACGAGCACCAAUUGUUAUUUAUUCAAGCUUUAAUAGCGUAGGUUUAAGUUACAACACCAAGAAAUGACUUCUUUUCAAUGUGGCGAGGAACUGACUCAAGUAGGGAUCAUAACAAGACAAUCAACAUGGUGGGAGAAAGCUUCAAUUGAAAUGCAAAUUGUAGAAGAAUUACCAAUUUGUGGAUGUAGCCUCAGUCAAACAAUAUUUAAUGGUAUGGUGUUUUAUGAAUGAAUAAUAUUUAAUGUUCUAUUAAUUUAUUAAUUUAUUUUGAUAAAGUCAAUAAUAUAUAUUACCAUAUAUUUGAAUAUUUUAAUUAUAUUCAAGUGUUAUUAAUAAACAUUUUAUAUUGAAUAGGAAAAAAGUUCCUUCAAUUCAGUAACCAAUUGGAGUGCAUUCAUGCAUACUUUUCGAUUCAUGCAUACAGUGAAUAUGUGGAUUUGAGAGGCUAGUUCAUAGAUUUAGGGUAUGACUAAUUUGUAGAUGUAUGACUAAUUUCUUACCCUAAAAGUUGUUAUUUAUCUAAAUCAUAUUCCAAUCUAUGUAUACUAGUAGCUAACAAUUUCAUGAAAUUUUUUAUUAACACUAAAAAAAUUAAAUUAAAUGAAUUAUUUGGUGAUCCAAUCCUUAUUCAAAACUUUAUCUAUAAAAUUGUCUUUGUUCAAAAACCUAUUCAAACAAAAUACAUAUGGCUCACAUAAGAAUCCAAAAAGAACUUAGUACAACCCACAACCAUUAUUGGAGGCUUGCCUAUAUGCUACAUAUGCAACAUACCACAGUGGUAAGCAACAGUAGAAAAAAUAAGACUAUAAUGCGGCUCUGUAUAUAGAUUUCACAUAAGAUUUCAAAUAGUUUUACAAGUUUUAAUUUAUUAAAAUAUAUAACUCAUUUGAAUCAAAUUAGAGUGACUAAAUCUAUAAUAAUAAUUUAGGUCGAUCUAAAUUUUGAAAACUAAAUUCAUGUUUACAAUAAUUAAUAUUAGAAAACUAUAAAUUAUAUAUGAAGCCUUAAAAAUUUAUUUUGUAUUUAAUCAAUUGUCUUAACCAAUAUUAAUCAAAUAAAUUAUGAAUUAUUAAUGAAAUAUAUAGAACAGAUAAAUAAUAAUUUUGUAAACAUAUUUAAUUAAAUCAAAUCAACCUAACAUGUUUAAAAUAUAAAUUGUUUGAAUGUACAUGACAAUUUUUGUAAUUAUUAUAUUUAUUUUGACAAAUAUACAUAAAUGUGACAACUCAUAUUGAUUUUUUAAAAAAUUAAAAAUUAAUAACAAAUAUAUUAAAAUUUACAAUAUGAAAUUUAAGUUAAAUCCAUUUACACUACAAGAAAAUCAUGAAAUAUAAACCAAUUUUAGAGACAAAAAGUAAUUAGUUACUAUUGUGACUAAAUUAGAGACCAUUUUAGAGACUAAAUUUUUGUUUUUGUUUUUAAAUUAUUUUAUAUUAUUAUUAAAUAGUUUCUAAAUUAGUAUCUAAUUAACUACUAAGAUUUGAACUACCAAUAAUUUGGAUUCUAAAUUUGGACAGAUAUAAAGGAAUUUGCAUGAAUACCUCUCGAUGCAAACCACCAGUUUCUGGGAAAAUGGAAAUAAACGUAGAUCGAAGCUAUGAAUUAUCAUUCACUAAAUAUUGUCACAUGAAAGUAGGGUAGUCUAUAAGGAUUAAACUCUACGUAGGUAUUUGACUUUUCUUCUUGUAAUACAUCCAAAGCAUAAUUUUUGGCCAUUUUGCAUGCAAUUUAUGUAACUAUUUUAGAAUAUAAUAACAUGUCCUUGUAUCCCAUAGUUCACUACAAAAUACAAAAUAAUAUAAACAAGUGACAUAGACAACCAAGUGUUUAGAAUAAGAAGAUGGAUGCAAAUAACUACUCCUGUGCAUAGUGGAAUAGUAUAUAUUUUACUAGUAAAUAAUUUCAACAUUGAAUAUAUGUCACUGUUUCAUUUGGAAAUAGAAUAGGUUUUGGAGGUAUUUCCAAGUCUUCAAUAUCUCCUUCAAGCAUUUCCACUACUCUCUUCAUUGAGGGUCGAUCAUUUGGUUUUAGUUGUAUACACCAUAGUGCAACUAUGAUCAUUUUCUUUGCUAUUUUAUUUUCCUCCUCUGUCACAUCUCCGAUAUCUACAUCAUCCUCUUCCUGAAUAUGAUCAUGUAUCCAAAGGGGAAAGUAAAGUUGACUUGAGUGAUCUGCAUGAGUAUUUAGAUUCUUCCUCUUACUUGCCAUCUCCAUCAAUAACAUUCCAAAGCUAUAAACAUCAGCCUUAUAGGAUAUUCCUCCAAUAUUAUUAUAAAACAAUUCUGGAGCCAUAUAUCCAAUGAUUGCUCUUGCUGCAGUCAUUGUAACGAUGCUAUUAUCUAUUGGAUAUAACUUUGCCAAUCCAAAGUCAGAAACCUUAGGGAUGAAGUUUUCAUCUAGUAAGAUGUUAUGAGGUUUGAUGUCAAAAUGCAAAAUUUGCAUCUCACACCCAUGGUGGAGAUAAGCAAUCCCACGAGCCACUCCUAUUGAUAUAUUAUAUAUCUUUUCAUAGCUUAAAUGUAUAUUUCUCUCUUUUGAGAAAAUAAAUUUAUCAAGAGAUCCAUUGGGCAUGAAUUCAUAGACAAGAGCACGCUUUGAGCCACUAACACAAAAUCCAAUUAACUUUACCACAUUUUGAUGAUGUAUCAUUCCAAUGGUUGCAACUUCACUGAUAAAAUCUUGCACAUUUCCUUUAGAUUUGGCCAAUAUUUUGAUGGCCACAAAAGGUCCGCUGCGCAACUUUGCCUUAAAGACUGAGCCAAAUCCUCCUUCACCUAACUUCACUUUGAAACCUGCAACCAUCUUCUUGAUUUCCUUGUAUGAAUAUAUAAUAGGUGCCAAGCAAUUUUGUUCAAGGUAAUUUUCAAUAUUUUCAUACAUUGACAUAUGUCUUUUUCUCCAUUUACAUAUAAAAAUAACAAUUAAGAAUGGCAAUCCAAACAAAGCUUUGUAAGCCCAUACUAUAAGAAUAGUUUGUCCGACUGCAAGACAUUUUUACUUGGUGAUUACAGUGGUAUUGUAAAAUGAAAUAAAUUAUUUGUUAAAGUAAUUUUUCGUUCACAAAAUCCAAACUUUACACAUCCAUAGUAACAUUACACAAAAAGAGUAAAUUUAAUGUCUACCACAAACAAUUAUCAAUACCAUUUUUGACAUUGCUAUCUAUAAAAUUGUAUAUAACAUUAAUAUUUCCUAAGACCUAAUCCAGAUGGUUGUAAAAAAAUACAAAUAGUUUUUAAAAAUAAUUUCUUUAGUUUCUAUAAACUUUUUAAAUUCAAUUUGUGUUCCUCUAACCUCUUUAACAUAUUGAAAAUCACAAUUUUUUAUCUUUAAGGUAAUUAACAUUUAAUAUCGAUUAUAAACCUUUAUUUAUAUCACUUUGAGGAUUAAAAUUUUGAAUUUUUAAAUUAGAUGAAGAAAAUAUGAGAAACUUUUGGACAAAUUAAAAUUGAAUUUUUAAAAUGUGGAGAACAUAACUAAAACAUAGGUAAAUUAAGAUGAUAAAAUAUCAAUUUUAGAAUCAUGUUCAUCUCACUAAAAAAUGAGUGACACGAUAGGCUCAAAUCUCAACUAGAAUAAACUCUUAGUGACUUUGAUGUCAUAUAAGGAUAAUGAGUUUAAGUUUAACUCCACUUCACAAAGUUGGUUUAAUAAGGUGAGGUUUACGAUCACUUAUAUACUAUAAUUUGGUCUUAUAUCUAUUCGAUGUGAGAUCUUCAAUAAUUUGGUUAAAAUUUAUUAUCAAAUGUCCAAAACAAUGGUUAAAACACAAUCAUCAUUGAAAAUAGAAAAUGAUGAUGGUUACAACGUAUAAUUAUCAUCACGUGUCUCUUAAUAUAUAGAAAUCAUGCCAACACAAAUAGUGUCAUUUUGUAACUUUUAAUGUUUUCUUCUUCUCCGUUGUGUUGCUCCCACCAUCGCCACUCCUUUGCAUUUGACCUAGUAAGAAAAUUUUAUUUUUAUGUCUUUUACAAUUAGAUAUUUGCUUUCGCUAAGUUUUUCUCAUGUACGAAUGAUGGAGAAAGAGGAUGUCUAGAGCUAGGGAACAAAAAGGAAAGUGAGACCUCAUAUUUCUUUAUACAUUUUUCUUUAAACUCUAACGAGUAUGAUAUGUGGAAAAUCUUCCUAUGUUGGGGAAGAGUUACUGGAAUGUUCAUAAAUAGGAAACUAAAUGGGAGAGGACAAAGAUAUUACUUGGUGAUAUUUGUAGAGGUUGGUAAUGAAGUAGAAAUAGAAAACAAGUAGACGCAAUUUGGAUAGCAAGCAUGAAAAAUCACGUUGGUUAACCAAAAUACAACAGGUUUGAAAAAAAAAAAAACAACCAGAACAAGAAUGAAGGGAUAAACAUAGAGCAAAAAAUUGAAAGAACAACAAAAUGGGUGAAAAUGAGCAAUACUUUACUUAUGCACAAGCGGUAAAAUGUGACACUAAGAAGGAAGGUAAAAAAGAUGCAAUGGAAGGAAUAUCGUUACAAGUGUAAGAGAAUGAGAAGAUGUGGAUAAAUAGAAGUUUUGAAGUUAGACUACAUGAUGUGAGUAAGAUGGAUCUGCUAAAUGAAAACUUUAUCCAAGGUGUCAUAAUAAGAUAUUUAAGGAAUAAUCAAGUGAAUCUCUCACCUGAUAAUGAAAUGAAUAUAUAUAAACAAUUGAAGAACAUAAUGAAUGAUUUCAAGCAUGUUUGAUUCUUCUUGGUCAUCUCAAGAAACAUCGAGAAAUAAGAUCAUAUAGGUGUGGUGUAGAGGCAUACCACUAUCCUUAUGGGGCAUCAAAUGCUUCAAAAGGAUUGUGGUUAUCAUUGGAAUGUUCAUCACAAUAAACAAAUGUUUUUGACUCUUGGAAAGUGUUAAAGUAUGCAAGAUUGUAUGUAUGUUUAGCAAUUAGGAGUUUCACUAUGAUGUAUUGGAAAAUCAAAGUCAACUAUUCAAUUAUCAAGUGUUGUGGGAAGAGGAUAUCUCACUACAACAACAACCAAGAAGGAACACAAAUUAAAAUAUUGGGGGAACAAACCUAUGGAAGACAAAUCAUUGUUAGCAACAAUAGAUGGGAUUAAAACAAAUUCAUUAGAGUCAGAAUGUUGAAAAAUUAAUUAUCUUGAUAUAGGAUAUACACAGGGUAAUGGGGAACAAACCACAAUGGAGGUAUCAAACAUUAAAAGGUCGACCACCAAAGAGAGCGACGAGAAGAUGACAGGGUCGUUACCAAGGGGUGAUCAAAUUUUAUAUCGUCCUUACUUUCCUUCUUUUAUUUUUGCGUUGCAUGUGACAUUUUGACUUCCCUGACUUCUUCAUACCAUUUCUCUCAUUAUGAUUGAUAUUGUCAAGUACUUCCUCCUAUGAGUUCACCAUUUUUUCCUUCAUGGAUUUAUUCUUCUGCUUUAUUUCGAAACUUUUGAUUUUUGUACAUUUUCACUUUGACUACUCCAUGAAUUACUUGUCCAAUAAGGUUCUCAAGAAAUCAUUUUUGUUAGAUUUCCUUUCCAAAUACCACACUUGUACGUUGAAACCCCCAAUGAUGAAAUUUCUUCUUCCAUUUAUACUUGAUAAAC
rnacentral:lncRNA from 1 species